UGUUUGAGAGUUUAUGAUCAAAAGGGGUAUUUCGAUCAUAAGAAAAACACAAAUAAGAUUUUGCGAGAACAGAUUAGAACAAAAGCUCAUGUUUCCCGAGAAAAUGAUCCUGGGACAAUAAUAAAUGGACAUUAAUUAUAGUAUUGAUGCACUAAGGAUUGUAAUAUGUUAUGGCUCUUGACUUCAAUGACAUAAUGACCAUUGGCAAGACCACCAGUUAAUAGGUGGACGUGGACUUGUGGCUAUAAAAGAUUUGUUGAUUGUUUGAGCCGUUGAGAUUGAAAACUUGAGGUCAUAUUAGAAUGUGAAAAAAAAAAUUCACUCUUUUGGGAAUUUCAUGGAUGCGAAAUGUAUAAUAUAUCAAUCAAAAAUCUUGUUUUGAAUUUUUGUUUCUGAUGCGUAAACCAUAAUAUGCAAGAGCCUGAUACUUAUACCAUAUUAUGCAAGAAGAUAGAUGAGGAUGCGCACAAGCGACCAACCACUCUGAGGGUGCAUUUCCAAAAGCAUGUGGACCAAUGCACUGUUGUAAAACACGAGGAAAAAGAUUAUAAGAGAUGAGACUGAUCAUUAUUUUGUAUUGUCUAAAGUUUAGGCAGAAGGUGAGCUUAGCAUGGUAUGAAGUCAAGGAAGAGCAUUAAGAAGCAUAGUAUGUUUUUUAAAUUUUGCAGAUAAAGGACUACAAUAGGGAGGGGGGCUAUUGCUUGGUGCAAUGGUGAAAGGCUUGGGUAGCAAACGCAAUAGCGGAGGUUCAAAUCCUAGGGCAGCAUUGUGCGAAAAGAAAAAAAAAGAGCAAGGGUUAGGUCUGUGUUUGUUCACCUCUCCCAUGACCUUGGAUUGUUGGGACCAUAACUGAUUAAUGGCUUAAAGGACUCUAUUAGCGCAACUUCUGGGGGCAGCAAAUGAUUGCAGUGGUGUGAUUAAUUUUUUGAGUGGAAUUGGAUGGUUAUACUAAGAAACAUGUAAAUUGAUCUCAAAGUGGCAUUCCCUUGGCAGCUAAAAAGUAUGGGGAAAAACUUGAGACUAUUCCUAAAAAAAUACCAACGAAAAGAGAAGUGAGUAGCCACCAACACGAUUUGUAGGAAAAAUAUUAUUAUGUGAUUUCUAAAUUUGGAUUUUUAUUAGGAUUCAAACUUGUAUUUUAACCUUGUAAAAGAAGUUUCAUAUUUUUAGCAAUCAUAAUUACUCUAAGAGGAAGAAAUCAUAACUCAAAAGUCAAGGAGCUGAUAGUUUGUAAUAUUGUUUAAUUGUUCUCAUUUUGGAUAUUAAAUGUUUGGCAGAAAGGAAAGAGUAGGUUUUGGAUUGGAACAUAGACUUAGGACUGAGAAAUCAAAUCUAAAAUCAUAUAUUGGAUUCUAUAUCUUGAAAACAGAAAUGAUCCAAAAGGAACUUAUAAACUGAUAAUAGAGAAGGAAGUACAGAAUCCAUCCUACUAAUUUGGUUCAAUAAUGGAGUGGGCUGCACAAAACAUUGCUCCUUGCCUUUUAUCUUUAAGUUUGGAUUGAAUUAGGACUCGUAAUAUUCCAAUAUGAACAAAAAAAGACCAGAAAUACAAAGACAAGUAACUUCCGGAUGUCACAUGUUAGUACAUAACCAUAAUGAUAUUCACAAUAUAACAAACAACACUUAUUCCAGUUAUUUAGGGUUAUGUUCGAAACAAAAUGUCCACCACUUGUUCCUCUAAGGGCUUCUCUAUCAGGACAAACUUUUUGAGAUUCUUGCUAACUUUUAUUUAGACUAUCAUAAGGUCUUCAUCUCAACCUCUUCUUGACUCUUCUGUAUAAAAUAUGAGCUACCUUUCCUUCUUAUGGCUCAAGGUCAGGUAUUUUUCGUACUUAGGUUUCUUCUCCUUGAUCCAUGCUUUUUUUCUCUUAUGCCUUUCUAAUAUUGUCCUUUAUAAUUUCACCAUACAUCCCCUUCAACUAUCUCCACUUUGUAACAUAUGUCUCAUAUGAUCUAGAAUAUAUGCACAAAAUAAUUGAAUUCUCAUGGUGCAACUUUGACAAUAAGCCGUUCAACUUUAUAAUCAGAAGUUUCUAGGUAAUAAUUGUUUUUGAUUUUAACUAAGCUUAACACUAGAAAAGGAUGGCAAGGUUAAUUGGGGUAUUUUCAGUACGAUCAGAUGUUGUAGAUAAUUUAAGGAUAUAUCUUGAGUAGUUUGUGGUGGGACAAAUCUGUGCACCAAAGUGAAAAUUUUGUAAGAUUUGGUUAAAUUUGCUUUAUUGUACGAGUUGUGAACAAUAGGGAGGUUAUAUUUGCAACUAUGUGAUCAUAAAAGAACCAGGAACAUGGAGUGGAUGUAUGCUAAACGUAGUAAGGACAAAGUUAGAUAUGUGUAUGAAACCUCCUCAUAAAAAUGGAGUGACUGCAAGUGUGAUUUAGAUUUGAGUCAAAUGUUUGAUGGUAGUAACAGGAUUCUUAAAGGCCUGGACGGCUUUGGUGAUAGAGGAUAUGAUGAUUCUUGUUAAGCUUCUGACAAGAUAGAAAUGGAUGGUGAAGCAUAUAGGUGGUAUAAGGCUUUCUGGUUUUGGAUCUCAGCUGUUAGCCAUGUAAAAUAGUGAAUGUGAUAGUUGUAUUUGUACCUUUUGCUGUCCUUUUUCAUAUCACUAGGUCAGCCAAGCUUAUUGAAAAUAUUAGAUUAUGCUAUUGGCAGUUAAAAGUAAUGACAGCAUCUUAUUGAUUUCUAUAUGUUUCCUUGACCAUAGUCUUCUUUCAUAGGAAGGAAAGAUAAGAAAAAACUAAUUGUUGCAAUAUAUAUACAUGUCUGCUUACAUGCAUAUUAAUCAAUGAGGGCCUAGAAUCUGCUUACAUGCAUAUAUAUACCUCAUAUUAACAUAUGAGGCGGACUAGAAUCUGGUUGAUCAGAUUUUAAGUCAGAUUUGUUAGUCUUAACCAUAUGAUGAGGGUUUGACAUGGAUGAUUUGAGUUGUUGGAUGUGAUUUACUAUCUCUAUAUUGCUUAUACACAAAAAAGCAUAUGAUUUGGAGACCCUUAGGCUUAGCCUAUACAUCAAGUGGUCAAAAACAUGCAUUGUUUUUGUCUAUUUAAACUGGCCUUUUUGAGCACUUGAUCGAUAGGCUCGUUUUCUGCAGAUAACAUGAAUUUUGGUAUAUAACCAGUUUAGAGGUAGUAGUUCGUAUCCAAGUCCGACCUCGAAUCUGGUCGAUCGGAUUCUAUCCAUCUCUCUCUCUAUAUAUCAUCUAGCACUAUAUAAAUGUGAUAGUAUGCUAUACGAAAACUUACCCAUUUUCAAAAUACCCUCUUCCCAUAAUACCCCUAUUUUUUCCCAAGUGCAUAUUGUUCCAAAAUCUCCCUGAUUUAAACCUUUUAUUGACUCAUAUUCCACUUCCAUUAUCCAAUAUAGGGAGCACUAUUAACCUAGUGAACUCUCGUUUUUAAUUGGGACUCUACUGCAUUCCCUCCCUCUUAAUUGAGUGGACCAUAUUUUGAGAGAGAGCUGAGAUCAAUUCAUUUAUCGAGAUGACACUAAGUUAGCCCAAGGAGGUUGAUGUGUAUUCUUCAUCCAAAACCCACUUAAGCCUCAAGCUCACCAUACUGGGAGGAUCGAGAUUCUUCUAGGUCUCCUUUUUCUCCUAUGAAUUGGGCAUCUUGUUUCUCUCUAAUUUAUCUCACCUCAGUGCCUCACCCCAAUGGCCUUCUCCAUAUAUGUAUAAAUACUCACAUACUUCAUUAAUAAAUAUAUAAUUUGCACAUCUUUUGUGAUUUUCACACUUUUAAUGUUUUCCUCAUUAUUCCGAAAUAUAAAUUCCAAAGAAACCAACCUGUUCAUAUGGAAUCUCAAAUCAGGGAGAGAUGGAGAUGGGCUUAUUUAUGGGCUUGUACAUAGUAAAGACAUAAAUUUUAUUUAUAGAUUAAGAUUGUAAUAUAGCAAAUAAAUCGUAAAUUAUUUUAUGGGAAAGAUAUAUCAGCAUCUCAUUCGUACUUAAAUCUUUUUAGAAUUUAUCCUCUAUCUAAAUUCUUGAAUAGCCAUGUGCAUUACCAUAUGCACUAUAUAUAUACAUACAUAUAUAUAUAUUUGUGUAUGUAUGUGUGUUUAUGCAUUGUUUGCAAGUGAUAUGUUAAUACUUAAUACUGUCAAGAAGAAUUUAAUCUUGGACUUAUCUGGAUACUUUGCACAUGGCAUGAUAUCUCUUCAUGGUUGGAGCAGUUUUAUCAAUCUAGGGAACGUAGAAGGCAUUAAGAUACAAGCUAACUGAAUAUAUGACUCUUUUCUUAGUGCGUGUUUGGUAUUGAUUCUUUUUUUUUUUUGCUUUUUAGAAGUUCUUCUUACUAUAGAAAAAGCUAGAAGCUAGGUUUUCUAUCUUCUUCUCAAAGUGGUCUCAAAGUGGUUUUUUGACUUUUUCCCCUUGUACAAGCACUUCUCAGAGUAUAUAACCAAAUACUUGUGCUUUUUUAGAAAGUACUUUUGUGCUUUAAAAUCUAUAGAACUACUUCUUAAAGUGACACUAAAUAUGUCCUUGCUGUGGCAUGUUGUAUAUGCUGCUGGAAUGCCUUUUCCUUUAUGACUUGCCAAUUUGGCUUGUCAAACAUUUAGCUUAUCAGGUUGAGAAUUAAGUUACAAAACAUUAUGCCUCUUUAACUUACCAACAUAGUUAUUACCUUAUGACUGCAGAGGAGAACAGGUGCAUGUGCUGUGUACAAUGGAGGAGUUAAUGCCUUCAAUUGGUACUGCUGUACCAUCUCCAGCUGUUCUUGCCAUUACUCUUUGCCAAUCAGAAUCUGCUAUUCAAAAUGUUGUCAGGCUUUGCUCAGAGUCAUCAUAUACACAGUCUUCACUUGAUCUUGACUAUGCUUCACCUAAAAGUUUAUAUAAAGAAAUGGAUUUUGGUCCCAAGUCACAUCUGAUCUCCAUUUCUGAUGAUGGAAAAAUUUGGAACUGGCUUCUGACUUCUGAUAAAGCUAGAGAUGCUCAGAAAGCUUCACUUAAUAUAAACAAGUCUAAUGUGGUCGGUGAAGAACUAGCUUCAAAGACACAUACUAGAUCAACUGAUAAUUUGUUAUCUAGAGCUGUACCAGAUGCAGAUAAAGAACCAGAGCCUGUCGGCAGUAGCUGUGUUCGCUUAACAAACUCCAAUUUUAUUGCAUCAGAAUUUUCCAUGAAGGUUUGUGGAUGAACAAAUUAUAACUGUUUUACUUCUUGAAAUUGUUUUUCCCACUUUGGCUUCUUGUUACAUGCAAAUUAACACUAGUAACAUGAUACCUUUUUAAGUAGCACGCGGACUUUUUUCUUGUCUGUAAAAGGUUACAAUUCUGGAGCUUAUGCAGUUUUGCUUGUGUGGUUUACUUGUUUUGUUUUUUUUAAUGUGUGACACUUUUAUGUUUUUUAACUUCUUUUUCAUUUAUUAACCUUUUUCCUUAGAUCAUGAUAUACAUAAUUUCAAGGCAUUUUGAUCUGAAACCAUCCUAAAGGAGGUGAAUGCGCUUCAAGAACAAAGACCUUCAAUGAUAUCUAUUGACCCGAAUAAUGCUAAACUUUGAUCAAAUUUGGAUUCAUUUCAUAGUUUGACUUGUUUUUUGUGACUUGUCAACCAAAUGCCAGCCUCCACCUUUCAAAUUCAGAUUGGCGACCAAUUGUAGCAGUGUUUGAGAAAAAUGAAAGUAAUCUCAGAAAAUCAAUUUGGAUUAAUGCUUGAAAGAUCGAUAAUGGAAGCUAUCUUCUUACAUAGGCAAUUGAUAAACAAACGGAGAAAUAAAAAAAAAGUUUCAAAUUGACCUUUACUGAUGUCUGAAAAGCUUAUGAUAGGGUACCAAGAAGCUAAACUUGAUGGGUUUUAUGAAGAAAUGGUGUGCAUGACAAUAUAUUGAAAUCACUAAGGAUAUGUAUGUCGGAACCUUGACAAGCAUUAAGCCUUCUUGUGCUGUAACAAUAGAACUUAACUUUGUAAGCUAAUAAGGAUGAUGUUCUAUAGUGUUUAUUUAAUAGAAUUCAUUGAAUAAAACUUAUAGGAUAAGGGCUUAGAAAUUAGCUGAACAAAGACAAUUUAUAACAUGCAACUUUAAUGAAAAUGAAAUGAAUAUGAGGUCCUAAUUAAGACCGAUGUACAAGAAAUAUCACAUAAUGUUUAGUUGAGUUAUUUGGGAUUUAUUAUUAAAAAAAAUAAUGAAAGGAUGCAUGAAGAUGUGUGUACUAAACUAAAAGCUAGUUGGAUGAAGUGGAGAGGUGCUUCCAUGGUAUUAUGUGAUUGAUGCAUCUAAAGAAAAUUAAAUAGAACAACAAUAAGGCUUGCGAUGUUGUAUGGCUUAGAAUAUUGAGCAAUUAAAAUGGUUUAAGAAAAGGAUAGCAGAAAUGAGAAUGUUAAAGAUGUGCAUAGUAAAACCAAUGAUAAUUAAGAAAUGAGUAUAUUAGUGGAGUGUGAGAGUGCACGAAUUAAGGAAAAAGUGAUGAAAAACUGAUUGAGAUGGUUUUAAGGGGGCUCUUGUGAGGAGAGAUGCUUCAAUGUAUGUUGAAGGAUGUGAGAAAGGGUGGACAUCAAUAUUGAUUAUGUUAACCCUAGAAAUAACAUCAAAGGUGGACAUCAAUAGGAAUGCUAACAAAGAUAUUGAUUGAAAUAACAUCAAAGGUGGACAUCAAUAGGAAUGCUUGGUAAAUUAGAAUAAAUGAAAGUUAACCCUAGAAAGUUAGCAGAAGGUUUGAUGAUUAUGUUUAUGGUUAUAUCAAAGUUUGAUAUGGUCAAUUUAACUGGCAUAGAUAAGCUCCAUCCCAUAUUUUUUUGAUAACACUUGCUAAUUUAAUAGAUUUAGAGUUGGUUUUGUAAGACUCUUCUUUGAUUUUGUUGGCUAAUUAACUUUUUAGCUUUUAGUAUUCAAAUUAAGUUCUCCAAUGACAUUUUGACAGAAACCAAUUUGACCUCUAAAAUUCUAUGCAAUUUUGACUUUCUUAUUGGAAACUUGAGGAACAAGUAUUGGAGCUAACCUAUUACCAUGUUAGCAAAGUUUAAAGUCUUGGUACUGGUACCCAUUUCAGCACCAUAGUAAUGCAUGGUACACCUGUUGGUGUAGGCACAUGAAAAGUAUGAAAUGUACUACCAUGUAUCGAUAGGGUAUGAUAUUGAUGGGUGUAUAGUUUGGUAUGGCUGGUGGAUAGUGGUACAGCAUGACACUUUGAUCCAUUCAUACUACAUUAUUUAGCUAGAUAUAUAUGUUAAGAUGAGGUCCAUCCUAAGAGUGGAAAACUCAGUUCAGUGUAUGCAUUGAACAUUUGAAAGUCAGGUUUGUCUUACCAAUCGAUGCUACUCCAUGCCCGGCGUAUUGCACCAUAUCGGUAAGGUACCAAGGUUUGGUUUGGUAUAUGAGUAGGACAGGUCCAAACUGAUCUAAACUAGCGCUCGAUUCUGUGUUGUAUCAAUCUGCAUCACUUGGUUUUGGUGGUACCAUAGUUAGGUAUAAGAAAAUGUUGUCGGUACAGCAUGCAUACCGUGCUAAAUACCAUACUGAUAAGGUAUUUGUACUGUAGCCGGUGCCGGUAUAGUGAGCUUUGUUUACGAGUGUCUCAUACGACAGAAGUACAAGCUAUCAAUUCUUUUUNNNNNNNNNNNNNNNNNNNNNNNNNNNNNNNNNNNNNNNNNNNNNNNNNNNNNNNNNNNNNNNNNNNNNNNNNNNNNAUAAUAGCGGUACCAGUAAUUGUGUGUUUAGAAAGAGAAAUAUCUGCAACAAUACAACAACGUAUUGGGCCUGAAAAGUAUUUAUUCUUUCAGCAUACUCAUAGAAACUGAUGUAUAACUAUUUCAACCACAUUUCUGUACUCAAAUUUGUUGUUGAACUAAUAUUGGGAAUUUGCCACAAAAUGGACAAAUAAAUGAUAGUAUCACAUUUAAUGUAUGAAGCAGCCACUUUGUGAAGUUCAGAAGAUGAAUUAAAAUGAUACUUGAGAUGAACUAGGAGAUGCAGUGAAGGGCUAAGGAGCCAAAUUCAUAAAAUUUUGCCUAUGGUGACUAGAGUUGAUGCAAGCUAAGAUGGUAAUCGAUAAUCGUAGAAUAUGUGCUUGGUGAGAAAGGUGAAUUGAGUGAAGUUGCUGCAAAUGUAGGCAUUAAUGUUGUGUAAUUUCAUGCUUCUGGUGGUGACAGAAGACAGGUUGCAGGUCAUGGCGUCAUGCUUUUGUGCCAUUUGCUCAAUUGCUUUUUCCUUACAUAUUCUGCUUUUCCUGCAGCAAAUCAGUUAGAGCAAUCCAGCGAUGGCAUGAGGAAAAGCUGACAGUUGAUUGCAUGGUCUCCAUUGGCGUCAUCCAUGGAAUAUUAUUUUCCUGUUUGUACAAAGCUACAAGCUGCUAACAAACUAAUGAACCCAAAAAGCUAAAGCUGCUAGGGGAAUGAGUCAACGAUGUGUAUCAGGUUCAAUACAGCCUAGCCUGAGCUUCAACAAUGAAAGGGUGUAAUGGAUUAACAUGCAAAGAGUGAGAACUGACAAGCAUAUGGAUUAAUGGAUUUAAUAAGUGACUUUGGUGGAAAUUGUGAAAUAUCAUUUCUGAUUGCUAAAUAGGAGAGGGGACUUGGAAGUUGUGAGGGAAAAGAGCAUCAGGUGGAAGUCCUAUGAAUAAGACUGAUCUCUUUUGAGAUGAAUGAAAAUCUCUUGUGUCAUUAGUUAUGCACUAGCACUUUGAAUGGUGUGGUAUAUCAUUGGAUCCCUGGUGUGGUGGGGGGCGGAGGGAGGGGAGGGGGCAUGUGUGUGUGUGUGAGAGAGAGAGAGAACAGGGUCUUUAAAACUAGCCCAUGUAAACAAUUAUGAGUGUGAGGACUGUUUUGGCAAUCUGAUCCAACAAGAGGUGUACAAUAAGAUACUUGCUCAACUUUAUGAACAUGUGCACAAACCUAUGCACUCAAGCUUAUUUGCUCGGGCACUUUUUGACACUCUUAGUGGAACUUUGUCUUUUAGGCAAAAUAUUUCUAAUGCUCAUUUGGUUUCACUGUCUUGGUUUUACAGUAUUGUUACAUCUUAUUUAGUCCUUUUCUCUUAUGCAGAUCAGCUUAACCGGCCAGCUUCAUCUUCUUUCUUCUACAGUGACCACUCUAGCCGUACCAUCUCCAUCUCUAAUUGCCACUUUGGCUCGUAAUUCCUGCAACCCGAUCUGUUCAUGCUUUUUUACUCAAAUUAGUUCUUAUAUUUACUUUUAUCAUCUGCAAAUUUGUCGUAUAUGAUUAGUUAAAAUUUUCUAUCUGAAGGUGGGGGCAACAAACCUGCUCCAGCAGUUCCACUUGUUGCUUUAGGAACUCAAAGUGGAACUAUCGAUGUCAUCGAUGUUUCUGCCAAUGCAGUUGCAGUGAGCUUUUCUGUUCACAGUAGUAUUAUAAGGGGAUUAAAAUGGCUUGGGAAUUCCAGGCUCGUUUCAUUCUCAUACAGUCAGGUAUUUGUGGUUAUACGGAAUAUCGCAAUCUGGUAGAAAAUAACCAAUACUUUCAUCCAUAUUUUCCAUAAUAUAUCUGCACUUCUAUGUCAUAUUGUGAUAUAAGGCUGAGCUUACCUUUGUGCUUAUUGCUUUAAGCAGUAGCUGCAUUGUACAUUUGUCUUAUCGCAUUUGAUGAACUGCAUUUGCUGCUUUUUAAAUAUAGAUGCUAUUUGACUUACUAUGUUCUGAAGCAAAGCUACUUUCAUGGUCUGCUCUAUCUGCAUCAUUAGUUGAACAUGGAACAUUGUAGCAAGCAGCCUAUUUCCAUUUGAUGGUUUGUUAAAAAAAAAUCCAAUUAUAUGUAUACUUUCUGAAAUAGGGCUCAAACCUGAUCUGAUACAGAUCGGAUGCCAGUCUAUUUAUAUCUGUAUCCAUUUUUAUGGAUUCUAAAUAUUAGUCAAAUGCUAAAAUCCAUUCAUUUAAAUGGAUAUUGAUACAAAUUGUGUAUUAACAAUAGAGAUGUGAAUGCUUAUAUAACUUGGAUAAUAUAAAGUUUGUGGUUAGAAUAUUAUUCCACUUUAAGUUUUAUUAACUACUUUAGUAUACAAGCCUCCCAACUUUUUGUUGUUAUUUUUUCUAAAACAAAAUAAAUGAUUGUACAAAGAACAAAAAGAAAUAACCACAUCUAAUGCAUCAUGAAUUUUUUUAGUGAAUUCUCAUUACUCACUAGUUAGAUGCUUUGAAUUAAAAAGCUGACUGUUAAGGAUGCAAUUCACAAAUUAAAGAUGUCACUGCAUGGAAAGAAAAUUGAAAACAUAUUGGUGUUGUCACUUAUCCCCUUUUGUAACUUCUGAAAGCUACAUGAGACUAGAUAGAGCUGAAAAUGAAUAUCGAUAUUUCUUUAUCCAUAAUUAUAUCUGCUUUUUUUAUGGGUGCAAAUAUGAAUUAUCAAAUGCUAAAAUUUGCGCCUUUAGCCGAAUAGACUCAAACUCAGAAACAAGUCUGGAUGGAUAUUUUUUGAUCCAUUUGCAACAUUAAUUUGAAUUUUUGUUUUUAUUAAAGUUUAGUUAUUUUAUUUAACAAAGGACAGAAAAAUGUUUUUGGUGUUCUAAAAUCAGUAAGGGAUGCCGUUCCAGGAAACCUAGAUAUAUUGUUGACUUUUCAAUUUAAUAUUGUUAUGUAAUUGGAGAAAUAUUGUUAUUCAAAGUUUAAAAAAUAAAUAUAAUAUAAGUUGCAAAAUAGCUAACUGUUAGCAAUUUACCAUUUACUAUUGGAAAUGUCUUUUUAUUGUUGGGAAUAAAAUUUAUGUACUGGCAUGGAUUGAUAUACUGAUUGAUUCUAUGUAAUUCUCUGCCUCUCUGAUGCCAUGUUUAUGGUGUUAUUCUGUUUCAUCCUUGUUUGCUAGUAUACCCGACAUGCACAUAGAACUGUUUCUAUUGAAACUGUCUUUGCUUAUAAGUUCAUUUUUUUUCAUCUCAUUUUUAUUUUAAUAUUAGAAUUGUUUGGUUGAUUUGAACCCACAGACAAUGGUCUUGGAAGUCUCAAAUUAUCAUAACUCAUAAAGCAUAUAUAUAUAUAUAUAUAUUAUUAUUUGCCUAUCAUUCUUUGCAGUAUAACUUUUUAGUUGUUACAGUGUCUUGUUGUUGAUGCAUAACUUGAUGAAUUUAGGUAAACGAUAAGGGAGGUGGCUAUAAUAAUAGACUUGUUAUAACCUGCCUUAGAAGUGGGCUAAAUCGUACAUUCCGAGUACUUCAAAAGCCAGAACGUGCCCCAAUAAGAGCUCUGAGGGCAUCUUCAUCUGGAAGGUUGGCCUUGAACUUAACUUUUCUUGAGGACUACUUUGAAGAUACAUUUUCCUCUUUAUUCAUGCUUUUCAGAAAUAUUUAGGAUUUGGUAACUUCUAUAUUUUAUUUUAAUUUGUAACUACUAGCAUUUGACAUAUUUGAUGCACAUAACCGAUCUCAUCGGCGUACAUGGUCCAUCCCAUAUGACUUUUCUAAAAGGAAUAUUUGAUGGAUGCUUGUGAUCUUGUGAUUUAAUAUCAUUAUUCUGUCCUACGGAUGAUUGUGAUUCAUCACAUGCAAUGCAGAUAAUGUGUUAAUUUAUAGAUUAACUACGUAAAGCAGGAGCCAAUGCUUGAGUGGCUUCAGGUGUAGGUAGGUAGUUAUUCUAGAAAGUCUGUCACGAUUCAAUGAUAUAGGCAUUUAAUUGAAGUCACUCCCACUUUUGUGAUCAAGAGAGAUAGGUAAAGGAUGGAAGAAAAAGAAAAACGAAAAAGAUGAGCGUAUUUGUGACUCUCCACCCUUUAAGGAAAGGGUAAAAUUGGCAUAAAAAGGUAGGAUGGGGAUAAGUUUGGAGGAAGAAAAAAAAGAGUGUUGGACAGGCCAGGAGAUGCAAUCACAUUCCUUGUUUAAACUGUCCAAAAUUUGUUAUAAACCAGUAUAACAUUAGAUGACUAGUUAAAUUUGAAAGAAAUGCUUGAUUAUGCUUUGAUUAUAGCCUGUAUGAUAGUCCAUGUUUAAUUGUCUUUGUAAUUUUUUGUCUGUUCUUUAUUAUUUUGAUUAUUUAUCAAUAUUUCAAGUCAAAAUGCAUUUAUUUUUGGUCAUCUUAUUUCAUAAGUUGACUUAACCUCCUCUGCAGGUAUAUUCUCAUUUUGUUUCGUGAUGCUCCUGUGGAGGUGUGGGCUAUGACAAAGAAUCCCAUAAUGGUAUGCACUUUUAUGUACUUUUGCAAAAUCUAUACUCCACAAAUUGAUAAUGCAAGAACUUUCUUAAUGGAGUGAUUAAUAUAUUUAGCUGAUGCUAGCAUCAAAGUACUUUUGUGAGAUAGGAUAUUUUACACCGGUCUCUUGAAUGGAUGAUGAUGCCAUUCAACAUCUCAGAAGGAACAAGUCCUCUUUUGAGUGUGGAUCUGAUUUUCAACUCUUUUAGAUGCGCUCUAACUUAUAAUAAGAGCAGUUAAUUAGAUGGCCUCUAUGCAUUAUGCUAUCCAGUAGAAACACUAAUAACUAUAAAGGAAUUUGUUUAUAUCCAUUACAAUUUGAAUGAUAAAGGAAAAGCCUUUUAAUAAGUAAAAUGUAGCAUGUGACUGUAGCUGUCCAUAUGUUUUUCUGAACAUCGAUAUAUGUAGCUUUUUUUGGAUAAUUAUUAGGAAACUGAACUGUUUCAGCAGUUGAAAUUACAUCAUCAAUCUAUUUUUUGACCUUUCUUUUAUGGAUAAAUUUUUGAACAAUUUCUGUUGACAUGUUGUGUGUUGGAAUGCAUGGAAAAUAAGGUGCCAUAACAUCUUUCCUUUCAUUCUGCUGGCCAUCUUUUUUUUUUUAAUCUUUUUGAAGCUUGCCUGCACAUUAUUCUCACCGGCAUUUGACUGAAUCUUAUACAGAUAUUCAAGGGCAGUACAAAUAUGAUUCUCAAUAUGCUUUAUUUACUCAUGUAGCUUAGAUCAUUGGCUCUUCCAUUUACGGUACUGGAAUGGACACUUCCAAGUGCACCUCGACCAAAUCAAAGUGCACCUUCUAGGCAAUCAUCAUUAUCAUCCAAGGAGCGGUCAUACAGUGCAACUGCAACUGCUACUUCUAUGGAAUCUAGUAAGUAAAUUUGUUCUCAGAAAUAGUAUUUGCUGCUGAAGCUAAUAUGAAAAAUGUAAUUUGUCAUGUGUUAUCUUAAACAGUUGCAUAUCUGCUUUUGUCAUUCUUUAAGUAUUGCUAAACUACAGAUCCUACUAUUAAUUUCUAGAAGCAACAAGCUCGGAAAGUUCUGGUGAUGACACAUCUGAAAGUUUUGCAUUUGCAUUAGUGAAUGGUGCCCUUGGCGUAUUUGAAGUUCACGGACGAAGAAUACGAGAUUUUAGGUAUCUCUCUUUUAACUCAAACCAGUACUUGAAGGGUUGAUUAUGAUUUUAAAAAUACCCCAUGUUCAUGAUGUGAUCAAAACAUGUCAAACUCAAAAAGGAUGCAUCUCUGCUUCUUACUUGAAACUCAUGCACAAAUAGUUCAAGGAUGAAUUGAAGAUGUUUUAAAUCCAAGCUCCAAUAUAUUAAAAUUUAUAAAUAGCAUGAAACCUUUUAUUUCUUGAGGACAGGCCACAGGCCCUCUGAAGCUUAUGAUUAAUAAUAAUAAUAAUAAUAAUAAUAAUUUUGAAAGUCUGCACACUUAGGAUAUCUCUGGCAAACACCCUUGGGAGCAUUUACUGGUUCUUGAUUCUUUAAGGAAUGCCAGCUUGCUGCAGUUGCUUGAGGCUGGAAACAUAUCUCUGCUUUUGAUUUUACUUGUCUAUCAACAGGUUUCAAGGAAUAAAACAUACCGGACAAUGCUUACAUAUUGUUUUACAAUUGUAAAUCUAUGAUGUAAUUGUAAUUGAAGAAUGAACUUUUCACUUCGGUUAUUAGACAACAUCGAAAAAGAAUUUCAAUAAGAAAAAUAGAAGUCGAUGAUCAGUCUUUUAACACAAGCUAGAUUUGUUUGGGCCAUACUGUUGUAAUUGUAUUUGUAAUUGAAGAAUGAUCGAAAAAGAAUUUCAAUAAGAAAACACAAGUGGAUGAUCAUUCUUUUAACACAAGCUAGAUAUGUUUGGGCCAUACUGUUCUCAUUCUUACAUCAUUGUAGUCUUGGUUUUUGGAAUUUUACCUUUCAAAGGAUCUCUCUCUCUCUAUAUAUUUAAGUUUUGUUAUUAUGAACAUCCUAUUUGCUGUAAUAAAUUUUAAUUAUUUGUAAUUUUAAUUAAGACAGAUGGUUCUUCAUUUUUGAUGAUAAACACAGAGGCAUGCAGAACUGCUAGAUAAUAGUUUAGAAGUGCAUUUUCUCUUACCAACUUUAUGCUAAAUUUAACCAACAGAAGAAUUUCUAUUCAAGAGUAUUUAUUACUAGACUCGCAUAAAUAAUGCCAAUUAGCUUGGUAGCAAGCCCUUUUCUAUUAAGCUGAUCCAUUAAGUUGAUUUCCAUUGAGCCAGUUGGCCCAGUUCCUUCUCUGAAUGCUGGUAAAAGCAUCAUGUCUCUACUAUACUCGAAAGUGGAUGUGAAAGCUGGCAUGUUAAUGCUUUACUGUGUUCUCACUCUUGUUCCUUGACUUCUAACAGUGAUGUGGACAGACGUUCUUAAACUGACAGUUUCAAUUUUAUAUCAGUUUCAAUUUUAAUUUUCUAUUCUUCUGUUUGUCACGUCAAUGAUGUGGCUUUCCGUUAACUAAAGAUGUCUGUGUCCUUGUUUCUCAGACCAAAAUGGCCUUCGUCUUCAUUUGUUUCUUCGGAUGGAUUAAUUACUGCUAUGGCAUAUCGCCUUCCCCACGUAGUAUGUAUUUUGUGCUUUUAGUAGUUUUCACAAGUUGAAGUUCUUGCUUUCCUAUUCUAUUUAGAUAUUUUUCUUACCAAGAAAACUUUUGGAUGACUUUCAUUAUUCAUCCUCAGGUUAUGGGGGACAGAUUAGGCAACAUACGCUGGUGGGAUGUAACAACUGGUCUUUCUUCGUCAUUUACUACUCAUAGAGAAGGAAUUAGGAGGAUAAAAUUCUCCCCUGUUGUUUCUGGAGACCGCAGCAGAGGGCGUAUUGCUGUGCUCUUUUAUGACAACACAUUCUCAAUAUUUGAUCUUGUAAGUAAAAAGUGAAGCUAUAUUAUCAUUUUUUUUUUAAUCUCUACAAUGAUUAAGAACCAUCUACUCUAUUGAUCCAAGUCGAUGCAGACUGAAAGGUUAAAUUUGGAUUUUGGUAAGUGAUAUGCAAUUUGGUAGUGAAAGUGAAUCUUUCAUGACAAUGAGACAUCUUCAACAUGCAUUCCUUGAACAUUCCAAUAGUUGUGAUUUGCCAUUUAUUGUCUGGUUAAACAAGUUAUCUAGUUGUCUUAAGUUUUGUGUUUCAGUUUGCUCGAAAUUAUCUCUUUGCAUUAAUUUCCCUUGUCUCCAAUCCUGUUGUUACAUGUUCUUCUGUUGUCCUCUCCAUCUGACGAUUACUUUUCCCAUUUCAAUAAUGUGUUUUAUCUUCUUGAUUGUGUUGCGAGUCUCUGGUUCACAGAAUGAAACUAUUUUUGUACAUUCAUUUGUAAUUCCUCGAUUCCUUGUGUUCGGCCCUCUAUCAAAAAUUUCUUGAAUCCAAUAGAGAUUAUGACUGGGAUCAAAUCGAUUCUUUUUUGAAUUACUUAUAAAAAUUCCUUCGAAACCUAAGGACAUUCUCUUUCUCUCUCUUUCUCUCUCUCUCUACAUGGUUCUUGAUACAAUUCCUUAUUUUUUUAUCUUCCUGUAGACCCAAGGCAAAUUUUUUUGGUUGUGCGAACCAAAAGGAAUGAUGACUUUGGGUUGUACCAAGUCUGAAACCAAGUAGAUUUUUUUCCAAUUUGUUAUUAUAUUUUCUUUCCAUCCAUUUUUUUUUCUAAAUAUGAUUCUAAAUCUUAGUCUAAAAUGAUUUCGAUUUUUCAAGAUCAAAUUUAAAAGGUGUCUUUUCUUGAUGUUUAUGUGGGAUACCUGAAGUUUUAAUUGUCAAAUUCAUUAGCUUGAUGCAUGAAAUGUAUCUUGUAGGAACAGAGGCAGGAGGAAUAAUUAGCUGUUUGCAAUGUUAUCACCAUACUUUAGAGUCACAGUGAAAAUCUCAGAUUACUUGGCUAAACAAAAGAUGUACAUGGAUAAGUUAGAAUACAUAACUUCCUCCAGAAGAAGACUACUUGCUAACUAGUGAUAACGGGUGUUUUAAAAUGUGCAAUAGAUACACGUGCAAACCUGAAAACUCAAUACAUAACAAGGAUUUUUCAGAUUUAGUCAUAAUACAAAAAGGAACUAACUGAAUGACAUUAUCAAAGAGAUGGGUAUCUUCUUGUUCAUUGAAAUAGGCUAUAAAUCCUGUCUUUGCAUCUGAUUGGCUAUCAAAAUUUUUAAUAGCUAUUGAUGUCAUUACCCAUCAUUAUAUUUAGGGAAAAAUAAAAUGACACCCAGUACAAAGAAUUCCCUCCAUCAUAUCUUACCGAUCCAGAAAACCCAUCUGGUUAUGAGAAAUGUGAAGUAAUUGUCCAUCCUUAGAGUUACUGACUGAACUGUUAUUUUUCAUGUUUGUACUAAGUUUCACAUGUUACCAAUUUUUAGGAUACAUCAGAUCCAUUGGCAAAUGCCCUUCUACAGCCACAGUCUCCUGGAACCCUUGUAUUGGAACUCGAUUGGUUGCCAACGAGGACAAACAAAAAUGAACCACUGGUAUUAUGCAUUGCUGGAGCUGACAGCAGUUUUCGUCUUAUUGAGGUUAAUAUGUACGUUGCUUCCAAUUAUAACAGUUACAAUCAUCAUCAUUGUUACAUUUUCUUUCUACAUUUUUUGCAUGCUUAUCCUUAUAAAUAUCUGAAAUUGCAUGCAUACCCUCGCAAAUUUACUAUUUGUAUGUAUUCUUAUAAUUAUUUCUUUUUCAUGUAUACCCUCAUAAGUAUAUAAAGUUGCAUGUAUACCCUUUUAAAAUCACUAUUUGCAUGUACACCACUAUAAGUUAUUUCUUUUUGAAUGUUGCAUAUACACAUUUAUAAGGGUAUACACACAAAAAGAAAUAAUUUAUAAAGGUACACACAAAUAGUAAAUUUGUAAGGUUAUACAUGUAAUUUCGGAUAUUUAUAUGGGUAUAUAUGCAAAAAGAAAUAAUUAUAAAGGUAUCCUCAAAUAAUAAAUUUGCGAGGCUAUACAUGGAAUUUUAUAUAUUUAUAAGGGUAUACGCACAAAAAACCCUUUUUCUAUGCUGUAUUUUCCAUUAUGUCGAUCUUGAAAGUUUUGUACCACAUAGCCAACAACAUAUAAUAUAGCUUUUCUUUAUUGCAUUAUCUGCUGGUGGUUUCACUUUCGCUGUUUUUCUGAUGCUUUUUUUCUUACAUAAAUAUGGUGCUUCAAGAUUUGCUUGACAUUUGUUUAUGCAUUUUUAUCAUUAUGAUAUUCAGCAAUGAUGCCAAGAACAAUUCAAGCUUCAAGCCAAGGGUCUUGAAAGAGAGAUUCCGGCCAAUGCCAUUAUGCUUACCCAUACUACUUCCCACAGCACAUGCCCUGGUAAGGAAUAUGCAACAUUUGCAAACACUAUACUGUAUGGUAUUUGAUCUACUUAUGCUGGAUGAGAUGGAGUGCACCAAUUUUAUCCAUUAGUAAUAGGUUAGUUGCAAUUGAAAUUUUAUUAGUCUCUGUUAAGGUCAGGUAUUGUGCGCAUGAUGUGCUUUCAUUGAAGACCACAGUUCAUGUCAGGUUGCACGUGUAUUUACACUUUUUACUGAUUUACAUUUUAAAGAUAUACAGUACUUGCGGAUUGACAACUUACAUCAUAGGUCCUCUCUACAGGCACUGCGAAUGAUCUUGCAACUGGGUGUAAAAUCCUCUUGGUUCAGUAAGAGCAGUACAACUGCCGAUACGUUAUCUUGUCAGACUCCUGAAACCUGUCCAACAUCAGUUCAAGACCUUCGCAACUACAUGAUCGAUUCAACCCUUCCUGCAGUUGGGGAUUCUGUGGUGCCUGAAUUACUUCUAAAGGUUUUAGAACCAUAUCGGAAAGAGGGUAUCCUAUCUUUCUUUCUUCUUGAUAUAGUUUUCCUAAAAUUAUAAGUUCAACCUGGAUUGAUACAUAUGCUUUCACCUUUUCUUUCCGGGAGGAAGGAUGCAUACUUGAUGAUGAAAGGGCUAGACUGUAUUCUUCUGUUUCAAAUAAAGGUUCUGCAGCAAGAUUUGCCUUUGCUGCUGCAGUAUUUGGUGAAUUUUCAGAAGCCCUUUUCUGGUUACAACUGCCUCAAGCUCUUUGUCAUUCAGUGGAUAAAUCAGAAAACAGAUCUCUGCAGGAGGUUUCUAAAUCAUCAGUAUCAGAAGCUGAAAGUCUCACUAUACUAAACAGGAUAGCAUCUCGAGAAAGAUCUGUUCCAGGAAGGGCAACAAAAGAUAUGGUGAUAACACAAAUUACAUAACAAUUAAGGACCUCCUUGUUUGUUAAUCUUUGUUAUAAUUUAUCUAUCAUGCCACACUCGUUGCUACUGUUUCUAAAUGCUUACUCAUCUGAUAAUUGCAAUGAUUAGAAAGAGCCAAGGGAGUCGUGCAGUUGAAAAGUUUAGUUACAUACAUUCAUAGAUUGCAUGUGUGCAUGCGUAUAUACAUGCAUACGCACGCCUGCAUGCAUGCAUGCAUACAUAUAUGCAUGUGCUUCCAAUUUUAUUCCUUACUUGAAAAGAAAAAUUAUAUGGGUUGCAGAACUGUGGGCAACUUAAUUUCAUGGCCUUCAAGCCAGAGGAAUUGCAGGGGAAUGCAAAUGAGCGAAUUCCUUGGCAUGAAAAAUUGGAUGGAGAAGAAGCAAUUCAGAAGCGUGUACAUGAGUGAGUAGUUUCUGAAUCUUUCACAAGGUCCCUGUUUGUAUGGUGUAUUUCUUAUCAUAAAUCCUCCCUCAGUCUCUCUGUACAUGUAGAGAAUAUUUCUUGUCCUUCUCUGUAAUCAUGUAACCAUCAUUUUCUUUUGAAUCACAGCAUUAUGAAAGUGGCAGCAAAUAGUACAAUCAAAUAACAUCUUAAGACCUCUUUUAUCUAAUUAAUUGUUUGUUUACAUGUAUAUAGAGGGUAUAUAAAAUAUUGAAAGCCAAAUAUUGAUCACCCUCCCCACGCCCCAACCCAAAUUCCUGCAAAAUAAAAAAAAGACCUGGUAGUGUGGGAAUAGUAUAGCCAACUCAUUGCAUGGUGUGAUCACAUGUUUUAUAUUCUAACUUUCGUCAACUUAGGUGUUUGCUUAUGCUGCCUGGUGAUCAUGGGAACAGAUAUAUGUAUUCUGUUGAUGAUUUCUUGUUUGUAUUGAGAGAAGGGUCUUGGGUACCUUUUCAAUUGGAUAUGGUUUUACAGGUUGACUAGAUGUACAUUUUGAUGAUUUAAUCUGUAAAUCAGGCUUGUCUCUGUUGGAGACUUGGAGGCUGCAGUGUCUUUGCUACUCUCCACCCCUCCAGAAGGAUCUCAGUUUUAUCCCAAUGCCUUACGAGCAGUGGCUUUGUCAUCUGCUGUGUCGAGGUCAUUGCAUGAACUUGCUGUGAAGGUGAAUAAUCUACCUUCCAUUUCACAACUGCUGCUGCUGCUGCUAUUACUACAUUACCCUUUCCACUACUAUUACCAUUACUAUUAUUAUUCAGAUCUUGGUUACAAUAACCUUAAGAAAGAAAUCUUUUCACAUCUAAUUGGGGUCUGUUUUGGAAGACCUUGUAGAUUAAUUAGACCAGUUUGGGUCUUUUGAGUAAUGCUGGCAGAUGAGCAAGCGAUUUGUGAGCUAUCUCUUGUUCGGCUCGCACAGUUAGCAAGUGAGCCAAGCUUCGCUAGCUCGAGCUCAGCUUGAUUUAGCUUAAAAUUUAAAUAUGUACGAAAUUUAAUUGACAUAUAUUAGCUAUAUCUAUAGCUGUUAUUAAUAUAAAAAUAUUUUUGUAUUUAUUUUAUUAUAAAUUAAUAUAAUUCAUAAAAGGGUGAAAUGUAAAUAAAUAAAUUAAAAUAGAAUAAAAAAUUAGUCGAAACUAUAUAAAUGAUAGCAUUGAAAGAUCCGAGCUCUCACCAAAAUUUUAAAUGAGCUAUUCAUGUCAGCUCAAGUUUGGCUUGGAGUUUAAUGAGCUUGCUCAAGCUUGACUCGAAUGUAAAACAAGCCGAGCUAGAGCCAUGCUUGGCUAGCUCAUGUUUUGGCUCAUUUAUAACCCUACGUUUGAAGCUAUACUAUCAUCAAAUAUUUCUAUGUUUACCUUACCAUAUUGAUUUUUUUUAUAACCAUGUUGUUAUAUAGGUCAUUGCAGCCAAUAUGGUGAGGACGGACAAAUCGCUUUCAGGGACUCAUCUUCUUUGUGCUGUUGGAAGGUAUCAGGAAGCCUGUUCUCAGGUUAGGUGACCUUAUCAAGUAUGCAACUUUACCUGUGCAAAGUCGCACUUUUCUGGAAUUUCGCUUGCUUACUAAUAGGAAAUUGUUUUUUAAUACUUAUUAUACAUUAAGCACUUGCUAUGCAUAUGAAUGUAUUUUGUAAUACUGGGUAGCAUGCAAAAAAUAUUGUUCUCUGUUGGCAGCAGACAUUACCUUGAUGCUUUGGAUGUAUCCUCAAAGAUAGGAGAAAGAUAGGAUUUACAGUUAAAUACAUGAAUUUACAAGCUAUAGCACUUGGGCAAAUAAAAAAAAGUCUAUAUUCAAACUUAUGAGUUUCAACUUUAAUGGGUUUUUAAGUAUUGAGAAUCCUGAGUAUUUUUGGAAUUAUUGUGUUGUUAAAUUGGGCAUGAUACGGUUGCAGUUAAAGAGUCAGAGUAGCAGCUUUCCCAGUUGUGUGUUGCUUUAGUUGGCUGUUCUUCUUUACAAAGUAUAAGUCCAGUGGAUCUUGUUAUGUCAUUACAAUUGUUGAUGAAGUAUAUAAUUCAUAUAUGCAAAUUGGUGUUAACAUCAGUACACCUUCCAUACUUUGAACUUGAGGUGUUUAUACUUGAAUUUGCAGUUUUAAUGGUUGUCCACCAAAGUCAAUAUAAAACUGAAUGGAGCAAUGAGCUUGUCACUUAUUGCAGUUAGCAGCUGCUAAGGAUAAUGGAUUUCAUGCAAACAAUCAUCUAUUUAAAACUAGGGGUUCAUUCAUAAGCUUAAAUUAUUUUUCAAGGUGGGGGUUUAUAUCAUAUUAUAUGCCUUGAUAUAAGGAUUUCGUUGUUGCGUUGAAUGACAAUUGUGAUAUGCCCAACUUCCUCAUAAAAAAAAAUGUUGCACUAAAUGUGCCAUCUAGUAUAUUAGGCGAAAUUCGUCGAGUUGCGUAGAGAUAUGCCGUCACCAAGAAACCAAAGUGGUUGGUGAACUCAUAUACCAUACAUAAAAAAGGCACAAAAAAUGUUGCAUUAAAUGUGCCAUCUAGUCUGUUAGGCCAAAUUUGUGGAGUUACAUAGAGAUAUGCCCCAUCAGCAAGAAACCAAAGUGGUUGGUGAAUUAAUAUACCUUACAUAAAAGAAAAAGGCGGCCCAAUGCAUGAGGCUUUUGCCACUGCUAGGUCUGGAGAGGGUCAUAUGUAUGCAGCAUUACCCUAUGUGAGAAGAGGUUGUUUUCAUGUUUCGAACCAAUAACAACGAAGUCACGAUGGAGCAACCUUAUAGUUGUGCCUUUCAUAAACCAUGCAUAAGUUCUACCUAAUGAGCCGCAUACUAAUUCAUAUAAUAUGUACUGAACAAAACACAGACGUCAUACUAUAUUUUUACUUAUGAUGUGUGUCAAACAAUAGACAUUUCAUGCUAUUUUAUUUUUUAAAAAAUAAUCAUAUUAGUCAUGGUAGAUCUGUAGUUAAGGAAAUAAGGGUGGCAUAGAAACAAUAUAGUGUAAAGGGUGUUCUAGUACAAGAGACUCUUCCCACUAUGGGGUUUGGUGAGGAUUAGAUGUAUGCAGCUUUACUCUCAUAUACAAAGAGGUUGUUUCCGUGUUUUGAACCCAUAACACCCAGGUUACAAUAGAUCAACCCUACAAUUGUGCCGAAGCCCACCCUCCUUAGCAACUAUGUAAUGUGACUGAAAAAUAUUUGAGAUAUGAUCCUUUAUCGACUGUUUGAUAAGUCUAACUGGGUAAAUUUAUAAUUAUAUAUAGAUACCUAUGAAAGUGAAAUUUCCAACUUAAAUUUGCAUUAAGGUAUGAACUUGACAUUAGGACUGCCAUCAUUCAAGUACUAAUGUAUAAAAUAUAUAUAGUUUUAGAACAAUUAGAUACAGCUCAUCUGAUUCUAUAAAUGAUUUGGGCUUUUGAGCUCAAAGCCUCGAACCAUCUUCUUAAUGCUAUCUCAGUGAGUAGGGCCUGCUAUACAUGGACUCUCAUGUCGUCUUUCUUCAUACAAAAUUCUCUUAAAAAACUUAAAAUCUCUUACAUCAAACUAAUUGAACUUUUUUCUAGAAUUUCAAUGAAACUGAUCUCCUAAUAUUGCAGCUACAAGAUGCUGGGUGGUGGACAGAUGCUGCAACUUUAGCUGCAACUCAUUUGCAUGGAUCUGAUUAUGCAAGGUGCCCUAAAUUCUCAUAUCUUAUCUGAAGUAAUAAUCUAGUUUCCGUAUUAUAUUCUUGCAUUUUUUUUUUCUUACAAAAAAAUCUGUUGACAGUUCAAUAUCCUCUGUAUCAGUUGGGUUACUUAUUAUAUGAUAUUGUGGGAGUUUGCAGUUGAAUUAAGAGCAAGCAUUGGUCUAGGCUAGGUUGAAGCAAUUCUGAGAAAGUUUUGAAGUAUCGAGUAUCGUACUUGCUCACUUAGGAUCUGCAUUGAUAUGCUUAUUGUGUUAGCACUAGGUAUAUGGCAGAAGAAGACAACCAUGCUUUAGAUAUCCUACAGAUUAAAUUUACACAUAGGAAAGUAUUUCAGACAUAGAUUGUUUUACUGUUUGAAGAUGGUGGAUACAUUUUAUAAAUUUAGAGAAAUGUAGUUCUUGUAAACACAUUGAGACCGAGCUCUCAAGGUUAUGUAAGACCACUCUUCCAACACGUCAUGUCAUGAAUGUCCUUCAGCCUAAGUUAAUCAGUUCCACACGAGGGGUGAUUAACAUGAGAAAAAAAGCAGAUGUGGGGAUCAAAGCAUGAACCCUCUUGACCUCCACGGCUCCAACUAAUAAUUUUCUCCUUCGAGAACUCCUGUUGAUAAAUUCUUCCUGUCCCAGAAUUGCUCCAAGCACCUAUUUCAUUAUUCAGUACUACAUCGGCUUAUCCCAUCACUCAUCUUUCGUACCUAAACAUUUGUCAUAUUUUUGUUUGCCAUGCUAUGUUGUCUAGGCUUCAAAUGUAAUACUUCCUGCUAUUCUGUGUCAAGAUCUGGCAUGUGCUAACACAUACUGGUACACAGAUCAAAGAUUUAGUUAAACAAAACUUGCAAAGACCAUAUCCUAUUGAAACUAUUUUCAGGAAUGGACAUCCAAUGAGCAUUGAAGCAUGCUUUGUUUAAACAGAUCUUAGACCUUAUAUCAUUUCAAUGAUGCAUGUUGAUGUUGAGACACAUACUAUUGUCUGCAAUGGUUAAAAUAUUGCUGAGAAGAUAUGGGUAUUCAACAUCAUAUGUAGCCAAUAAUGGGAACUUUACAUGGGAGAUCCCAUUUCCUAGAUUUAUAGAUAAUGGACUUGCUUUUAACAAAACAAGGCCAUGCCUGUAAGUAUGUGAUGGAUGAAAGAAAUACUAGUGAUGUUAUUUUUAGUUCUUUUACCCAAUCUGGAACAAAAUUCCAUGGUUUCUAUGUUUCUUAAAUGGAUCAGAAUAUGCUCUCACCUCUGAAUCUUUUGAAACAUUCUCAAAUUCAUGGUACCCAUCCAAUUGCUUGUCAUCGUAAAUCUUGAAUAACAAUCACUCAAGGUCAUCUUGGUUGCAGAAGGGGGUGAAGAACAGUGAACUCUUGAUGAGCCAGGCCUUGAAAAUUCCAUCAUUUGGUGGCAAUAUGAGGUAGUAAACCUUGGCUUAAUUUAAGUAUAAAUCGUGCAUGGCCUUCUAAGUGAUUGUCCAAAAGAUUAAAAAAUAAUUUAAAAUGCCAAUUAAUGUACUAAAUAACAUCUUACUGUUCAAACAACACUUUUUUGUUUGUUGGCUUAUUUAACAGGCUUUUGAAAAUAAAUCAGUUCUCUUUGGUAAUUUAUAAUCAAAUCCUGAAAAGUAAAAACCAAACAAUUAAAGACAUUGUUGGAUGCACUAAAUAGUAUCUUAUCAAAAAUGCUACAUCGUUUGUUAUUAAUAGGUUUCUGAAAAUAAUUUAGUUAUCUUUACCAAAAACUAAAUAGUUAUAUGAAUCAUGCCACUCAGUAAAAAAACUAAAAUCAUGUUAACAUCGUUUUAUUGAUAAGAAAAUUCUAAGUGAAAAAAAUAAGUUCUACUAAAUUUUUAAUCAUAAUAAAAUAGCUUAUGGAAUUGGCAAAUCAUCUUUAAGAAGUUUAAUUCCAUAUGAUUUUAUUUUUAAACAUAUCUUUAAUUUAUGCCUCUUCAUAUCAUAGAGUCUAAAUCAGUAUCUUAAGUAAUUAGAGUGUUGACCCAUGCACCUCAAUAUGCCUAAAUGCUGAUCUGCCCAGGAAUUUUUAAGAUAUUAUAACAUGAAUCUUAUAUAUAAACUUCUAGUUUAAGCUUGCUGAAAAAUGGAAAAGCAACACCAGGUUGAUAUUGUUUUUUUUUAAUAUUAUAUUCACCAAUAUAGAUUUUGUAAAAAAGAAAAAACAGUGUCUUAUCUCAUUUAUCUCAACUUUAAAUGUUAAUGCAACUUUAGUGGCUGACCCAGCAAAACUAACAUGCCCCAUAUCUUGAUCGGGAUCAUUCACUAACGAUGAAGUUAUCAAAUAAUUCUAUUCACAUAUUCACUAUAAGUUAGACCUUUAUGUUUAGAUUUUUUUAUGGCGUCAGCUGUCCUGCACUUGUUUGUUGUUUAUUUUAGCAUUUAUUUAGAUAGAGGGUGCCAACUGAUUCAGUUGGUAAAGUCACUCGAUGUUGGAUACUAGCAACCUGGGUAAGAAUCCACCCUCACUCUAUCUCACUUGGGCUUCUUCCUGUCCUAGUUAUCCUUUUUUUAAUAAAAAAAUGAGGGUCGCUCUUUCUCACAGCUGAAAGAUGAGCAUCGGGUGUUACCAUUUUGUCUGAGGCUCAUCUUUAUAGCGUAGCGUUGUUUGACAUUUGUCUUUAUAAAAAUUAUAAUUGAUGGAUGUGUCUGGGAUCGCUUGUUUAAAACAGAGGCAUUUAUUUGCAAACGAUCUAUCUUUUAUGUUUUGAAUUUUUUCCUUCUUUGAUGUAUUACCAUGCAGGGUUCUGCAAAGAUGGGCUGAUUAUGUUCUUUAUAAUGAACAUAACAUCUGGAGGUAACUUGAUUCUGUAGAUUAUAUUUUAGAAAGAUUUUAUUCACCCUUUUGCUGCUAUUGACUGAACUUGUUCGGCACCACUCUUAACAGAGCUCUGAUUUUGUAUGUUGCUGCUGGAGCACUCCCUGAGGCUUUAUCAGCUCUUAGAAAUGCGCAGCAGCCUGACACAGCUGCCAUGUUUUUGCUUGCCUGCCAUGAGAUAAAUGCACAGAUUGCCUCAAAAUCUCGACCAUUAGAUGAACAAUUGGAAUCCUCUCUUGAGAUGAAACAAAAAUUUCACUUGCCUAGCAGGAAUUUGGAGGAUGAAGACCUGAUUGCUGUUAGCGAGUACUACGGACAGUACCAACGGAAAUUGGUGCAUCUUUGCAUGGAUGCAGUACCACUAUUUGACUGAGCAGUCACAAAAUGAUUAGAGGCUGCUAUUAUCCUAGAGUAAGUUUGCACCUAUCAACUCAGCUUUCAGAAUAGCUCGAUCUAAUUUCAUUCCACUGCUUAAGGUCUCAUGCAUUGAGCCAUUUUCAUCUAAACAAUGUGAUGAGAUGUUUGGAUGGAUUCUUUGGGAGGCAUCUUCAAGGAAACAAUGCAAGAGAUUAUUGUAAAGCGCCUUUUGCACUUGCCCUUCAGGGAGGGGUAACCAGUGAUGAUAUCAGUAUACAAAACGAGAAAUAGGUUUUUACGUGGCCACGAUGAUUCACGGAUUUGGUAAUUGUCCACAUGGUGCCAGAGGACUAGGUUCUCAAGGAAAUACUUUUAUAUAUAUUCGAUAUACAUUACGCAUUUAAUUUACCAAAAAAAAACAACAUGCAUUUUACACAUGAUAUGGAAUUAGGGAUAUUGGAAUUAUAGCAUUGAUUUUUAUGAAUGUGAUGUAAAAUUGAUCUAAAAAAAAUUGGUAAUAAUCGCAUUCUAUUUUUUUGGUGAUGCAUGUACGAAUUUGAUUGGAUCCAAAUUGUCUUUGUUGACAUGAGAUGACAUAUUGCACGAAUGCUAAUGUAUGAAUUUCUUCCCAGCAUUAUUUGCUUGUUCAUGUCAAGCUUUUAGAUUUUUUAUGUCAAGUCUACAUGAUGAUUCACAUUUGUGCCACGUUUGGCAAAAUUUAUAGUAUACACAUUGUCAAGGGUCAAUACAUAAAUACUGUUGCAUGAAAAACUGUUUGAAAUAACAUCCUUAAAAGCUAAUGUCCUAUGAAAAGUAACUUAGAUGUACUUGUAAACAAGUGGUCAUUAAUUUGAAAUAAAAUAAAACAAAAAAAAAGGGUAGAACAUUCAUCCAUUCAUGAACCAGAGGUUUGAAGCAUGAAAAAGAAAUAGGUCUAAUCACUAUAAAAGUUUGAGGCUUUAUUUUCCAUAUCUGAUACAUAUGUAAGACUAGACGCCUACAUUCACAUGCAAGAAGGUAACAGAACGAAGAAUCUACCAGCAAUGGUUCCUCCAGCAUAUCAUGACAGCUGCAUGUCUAUUUAUUGGAAAUCCUACAAAUCAUAAUCUAGCAUCUAAAUAUCCCUAUCAAGGGUCAUGUUACCCGGAAAAUUCUGCACUAAUAUGUUUGGAGUUUUGUUAUAAAAAUUGUUUGGAGUUUAUUAACCAAUUGUGUAUAUGGUUGUGGAGCUGUGCAGGCUUCUCCAUGGCAAUCUAAACCGCUAGGGCUAGAAACGGGCCGAUCUAGGCCGGGCCACCUCUACCCGAGCCUGGCCCUAAAUGUUUUUCAGCUCCGACACCGCACGGGGUCGUUCCAAUCACUUCAUCCUCUGACUUUGUGGCGCACAUAGUUUUUAUUUAUUUAUUUAUUUGAGAAUAAGGGAGGCAAAAGCUGCCCAAGCUUUAUUAAUAAUAUGAAAUGUAUAUGGUACAGAAUUCACAGAAUUAAGAUGGAAGCUUGAAAUGAAUUAUAGAAGCAAGACAGAAGUUAACCAAAACUUAGCAACAGUCUGUGAUACAGAAUAAUCAAAGAGAGAGCAGUUGGAAAGAUCUUACUGAAUUAUAGGGAGGAAAAGAAAAUCUGAAAAGAUCAGAGAAUGAAAAACUACAUCUCUGCUAAUCAACAUUAUUUUAGCUUCAAAGCAAACUAUGACAGAAGCAAAAAUUCAUCUUCUUCAGAAUAUGCUCAACCAAUUCCAUUUCUAUGUGAGAUCAGAAGGCGGGCAAAAGCCACCUAGAUGCCAAAAGCUUCACCUAGUCAGAUGCCAAAAGCCACCUAGAUGCACACAGAUUCAGAAUCAGGCUAGAUGUCAAAAACGACCCACCAAUCCAUACACGCAAAAUAGAACUGAUUGAUGGGCAGCUUAACGUAAGAACCAAAAUAUAAAAGAAAUAGCUCUAAGCGGAAGCUGAACAUGAAUUGGUCAUAUCCUUCUUGGUAGUAACCUUCACUUGAUAAUUAUGAGGUACAAAGAUGCCAUAGCUCCCUUUCUUUGUCAUUAGAAAAAUAAGACAGAGAAGAAUCGCAUGCCCCUGCAUCUUGUGAUGGAAAUAAGAGGUAGCAGGCUGCUAUCCCCUGUUUAUUGAAAAAGAGAGAAACUCGCAAAAAGAGAGUGAGAGAGAGAGUUUUAGAUAUGUACAGGUAGAGUAAAUACAAGUUAUGAGAAGAUGAAGCAGUGCAACAGUGAGAAAAAAAUACAGCCACCCGAAAUCAGGUGCUGCUAGGGUGUGCGGUAUCUUCUAAAGCACAGAGUAAACAAUACCUUUUCCGGCACAAAUAUUAUCUUCUUUUGGCCUGCAUCUGCUUUAACCUGGUCAACGGUCAAGUGUCAAGCAUCCGCGUGCAAGCAAGGGAGCAAACAUAAAAAAAUCUCUAAAGAAAGCAGGCCAAAACAAGUGUCAUGCAUCCACGCGCAAGAGCAAGCAUGAAAUGGUCCCCAAAGAAGAAAGAAAGCAUGGGCGACUAAGAUGCAACAGGCCACAGUAUCAAAGAAGCAUAAGAAGACAUGUCAUCAAUCCGCAGGAGGAGAGUCUGCUUCUUUUGACGUGCCUGAGCUUAUAUAAAGGGCUCUAGGGAUCAUUUCAAGAAAAUGAAAAAUUCCUCUUCUCCCUCUUGUUCUUAUUCUCUUCUCCACAUAAUUUCAAUUAUUUUUCUGAGUUUCUUUUGAGCUAUCUAUAAGCGUAAACGUGCUCUUCUUUCUUCCCUGGAGUCGCACUGAUGGGGAAGACGUGGUUUUGUAUUGGGUCGUCAUAUCUUUAAGAAUCUGUGCCAGCGAACCCGUGCGUGGGGGGCAUAAAUUUUUCUGGGACAGCGCGUCAGCAUACUUCGAUCCACAAGCCAUCAUCUUUUAUUUUUUCAUUUUAUUAUUUUAUUUUUUAGUAAAUAAUUUGCUAGUUAAUUCUUCUUAUUUACUGUUUAUGAAUAUUAGAAACAUUCAAUUAUUGAUUUAUCAAUUACAUUUGUGCAUUUAGGCUAACAAUCUAGAAAAGUUUAUGUACUACUAGCAUUAGAUUUUAAAUUGCAACAUUUAUUAUAUAUAUUGCCACAUAUUGCAUGCACAAUCUUGGUAUGAUAUCACAAUUGCCACAUAUUGCAUGCACAAUCUUGGUAUGAUAUCACAACUGCCAUAUCUUGCAUGCACAAUCUUGGUUUGAUAUCACAACUGCCAUAUCUUGCAUGCACAAUCUUGGUAUGAUAUCACAAAUCAAUUUCUAAAAACCAUUGAAUUUGAUUAUCAUAUUCAAAAUUAAUAUUUGUAUCAAAUCAUAGGAUUUAGUAUAUUUUAGUUAUUACACAUUUUUGCUAGCUUCACUUUAGUGCUUAAUUUUUCAAGCAAAAUAUUAGAUUGCCUAACUUCUAAGAGGUUUAUAUUAACCUCCAUUUGGACUCCUCACGGAGUAAUUUUCAGAUUCUAUUCAAAUGGAAAUUUAGAAAUUGGUUAAUUCAUAGGAGCUAGCUUAAUAUUGCACUUAGGAUGAAAUUAAAUGAUAUAUAGUAAAAUUAUCCAUUGAAUAAUGGUGUCUAAGAAAAGCUUGUCAAAAAGUCCUACGUGCCUAAAAAGGAUUGGUAUUUAAGUGAGCCAAGUGCUUCACCACCGAUCUGGAGCUGAUCUGGCCGUUAUUCUUUAGAUUUUUCAACUAAACAUUUAAAGUUCAAAUUAGAUAUCAGUGCAAUAAUUUGACAUAAACCUUCUCAUUUUUACAUGUGUCAAAACUGUGUUAAGCUACAAAUCAAUGGCUUCCCACAUAUCUAAAAACCUUAGUGCUAAAUCUGAAAAGUUUGAUAGUAAAAACUUUAGGAGGUGGCAAAAUUAAAUACGGUUCUAGCUCACCACCUUAGGCUUAAUCUCAGCCAUUGGUAAAAGCACUACUGAAGUCAGUAAUAGGUACCCAUCUGCUUUACGACCUUCUACUCGCCGCAACCCAAACCCUGCUCCUUUCUUUUCUCAAACUGCUGCUACUUCCUCUACCUCCUCCACUAGGACUCCAGAAGAAACCAACUACCAUUGUCUUCAUAGAAUCCUAGGAGCCCUUUCUGAUAGGCUUUAUGAUAUUUAUUAUAUAGCCAAGAGUGCCAAGGAUCUCUGGGAUAUCCUAGAAAAUAAAUAUGGACUUGAUGAUACCGGGGUAAAGAGAUUCAAGGCCUCUGACUUUAGCAAGUUUAAAUUUGAUGAUUCCAAACCUAUAAAUGAUCAAAUCCAUGAAUAUGAAACCCUGAUUUUUCAACUCCAAUCAAAUGAAACCCACCUAGAUAAUUCUUUCCAAGUUGCCUAUAUCAUAGACAAACUUUUCUUUACCUAGUUAGACUUUGCCAAGACUUUGAGCCACACCCAAGGUAAUUUGUCUUUAACUCAAGUCCUAAAUUCCAUUAGAAUUGAAGAACAACAUCGUCUUAGAAAAAAAUCCUACUCCUCAUCAACCUAGAAGUAAGGGUCCUGCCACUUCUGGCACCUAGGCUAACAUAGUGACCUAUGGGGCUGACUCCUCUGGGAUUGUUAUCAUAUUUGUUUUUUUCAUACCUGAAGUUUAGAUGACCUUCUAGAUACUGUCACCUUUAUCUUAUCAAAGCUAAAAAUGAGGUCUUAAAUAAAUUCAAAGUCUAUAAAGCAGAGGUUGAAAACUAACUAGAUAAAAAGAUUAAAACAUUAAGGUCUGAUAGAGGAGAUGAAUAUACCUCAUUUGAGCUGACCCAGUUUUGUAAAAAAUAUAGGAUAAUUCAUGAAGUGACAGCUCCCUAUUUACCCCAAUCUAAUGGAGUAGAACCUUAAUGGAUAUGGUUAACUCUAUGUUAAUUAGUUUAGGUGCACUAGAAAAUCUUUGGGGGGAGGCACUAGUAACUGCAUCUUAUAUCUUAAACAGAAUUCUAUUCAAACAUAAUGAUAAAAUUCCAUAUGACAUCUAGAAAUAUAGAAAACCUAACUUAAAAUACUUAAAAGUAUGGGGUGCUUAGCUAAAGUAAAAAUUUUAGAAAAUAAAAAAAGACAAUUGGAUCCAAAAUAGUAGAUGCAAUAUUUAUAGGAUAUGUAAUUGAGAGUAAUGCUAAUAGAUUUUUAGUGUUUAACUCUCAAAUAGAUAAAAUUAAUAACAGCGCCAUAAUGGAAGCAAGAGAUGCAAUCUACUUUGAAAGUAUAUUUUUCUUUAAAACAAAGAUAAAUGAUUAAAUAAAUAUUAAUAAUAACCUAGGGACUAGCUCAAGCAGAACUAGAUUUAGAGAGAAAGAAGAAGAAGAAACUGAACCUAGAAGAAGUAAAAAAACUAGAGUUGAAAAGAACUUUGGAGAAGACUACUACACAUUCCUAUUAGAAGACUCUCCUGCUUCUUUAGAGGAUGCCAUGAAAUCUUUAGAUGCCCCCUUCUAGAAAGAAGCAAUAGAUAAUGAAAUGCAAUCCAUAGUUCAAAACCACACUUAAAAAUUGGCAGACCUACCCCUAGGAAGUAAAUCCAUAGUGUGUAAAUGGAUCUUUAAGAAGAAAUUUAGGCUAGAUGGAACUAUAGAUAAAUACAAGGCUAAGUUAGUAGCCAAAGGUUUUACUCAAAAAUCUGGAAUUGACUUCUUUGAUGCUUAUACCCCUGUAGCUAGAAUCACUACCAUUAGGAUCCUUGUUACCUUGGCUUCCAUUCAUAAGCUGGUUAUACAUCAAAUGGAUGUUAAAACUGCUUUCUUGAAUGGAGACCUACAUGAAGAGAUCUAUAUGGACCAACCUGAAGGUUUCAUUGUCUCAGGUCAAAAGAAAAAGGUAUGUAGGUUGAUUAAAUCUCUUUAUGGUUUAAAACAAGCUCCCAAACAAUGACACCUUAAAUUUGAUGAAAUAAUCCUAACUAAUGAAUUUAAAAUUAAUAACAGAGAUGAAUGUAUAUAUUAUAAAAAGAAGAAUAACAGAACUAUAAUCUUAUGUCUAUAUGUAGAUGAUAUCCUAAUUUUUGGAAUAGACUUAGAAAUUAUUAAUCAAGUAAAACAAUUUUUAUCUCUAAAAUUUGACAUUAAAGAUUUAAGAGAAGCAGACCUAAUCCUAAAUACUAAAAUCAUAAGAAAUGAAGAUAGAAUAACUUUGUUCCAAAGCCACUAUAUGAAGAAGAUUCUUAAAAAGUUUCACUACUCUGAUUGUCAUCCUGUAUCUACUCCCUAUAAUCCAUCUCUUCAUCUAAAGAAGAACUUAGGUGAUCCAGUCAAUCAAAGCUUGUAUGCUCAGAUCAUUAGUUCUCUAGGGUUUCUUGCAAAAUUAUACCAGAUUUGAUAUUGCAUACUUUGUGAACCAAAGAAAAAGAUGCAAUCAGUUGCAAAUCAAGGUACUUAUAUGAUAACACCUUGCAAAUCAAGUCCUUUUAAUAUUUGUAAGUCGUUGCAGGGACUACAAGUCUGUGAGAGAUUUGAAGAAAGCGAAAGGUUCCUAAAUGUUGGAGAUGGAAGAUCAGUUCCAGUUCUAGUUUUAGGAAUUCUGAAAUUUGUAUUCAAUUCUCAAAUAAUAGUCUUAAGUGACUGUCACUUUUGUCCUUUUUUUCUAUUGAAUGUAAUUUCUGUAGGCCUUUUGGCUAUGAACGGUUAUGAGAUUUCAAUAAAAAAAAUUACUGUGAUAUCGUUAUGAAUGGUGUUACUGUAAUGCAUGGACAAUGGAGUAAUGGGAUUUACAUAUUAUCACAGCCUGUUAAUGUAAUGUACAAGUCAAGUAAGCGCCCUAGAAUAGAAAAUGUCACGGAUGUCUACCUUCGGCAUCAUAGGCUAGGUCAUAUUAACAAGAACAGGAUGAACAGGUUAAAAAAAGAGGGAAUCCUCAAUAUUAAUGAUUGUGAAUCAUUGACAACCUGUGAGUCAUGUCUUCUUGGUAAGAUGACCAAAUCAUCUUUUACUGAAAAAGGUGAACGAGCUAGUGACUUAUUGACCCUUGUACAUUCUGAUGUAUGUGGACCAAUGAGCACAGAUGCUAGAGGUGGGUAUUCAUAUUUUAUUAUGUUUACAUAUGAUCUUUCGAUGUAUGGUUAUGUCUAUUUAAUGAGAUAUAAAUCUGAAGCAUUUGAAAUGUUUAAAUUGUAUCAUAAUGAAGUAGAAAAAUAGACUGGAAAGAAUAUUAAAACUCUUCGAUCAGAUCGAGGGGGUGAAUACCUUUCCAAUGAGUUUUUGACAUAUAUGGAAGAGAAUGGGAUUCUUUUCCAACGGACUCCUCCUGGUACACCACCGUAUAACAGUAUAUCAGAAGGGAGAAAUUGAACCCUAUUAGACAUGGUUCGAUCCAUGAUGGGGUUUGCUAGUCUGCCCAUAUCUUUUUGAGGAUAUGCACUUGAGUCAGCCUGCUACAUUCUAAAUAAGGUUCCAAGUAAGUCUGUAAAUAAAACACCACAUGAGAUGUGGACUGGAUGUAAGCCGAUGCUCUCUCACCUUAGGGUUUGGGGAUGUCUGGCGUACGUCAAACGUUUUAAAAUAGACAAACUUGAACCCAAGUCUGACAAAUAUUUCUUUAUCGGUUACCCUAAAGAGACUAAAGGGUAUUAUUUCUACCUUGCUAAAGAACAAAAGUUGUUCGUAAGCAAUAGAGCUAUAUUCUUAGAGAAGAAAUUUCUUCGGGAAGAAAGUAGAAGCUCUAAUGUUGAGCUUAGGAAAGUUCAACAUGUAGAAGAUCCGACACCAUCCACUGAACUAGUUAAGUCUGAAUUGAUUAGAUCAAAUCCAGAACCUAUUUUAGAUGCACCAUUAAGGCCAUCAGAUAGAGUACCACGUCAGCCGGACAGAUACUACGGUUUUUUAGUUUGGGAUAGGGAUUCUGUCAAACUUGAUGAAAACGAUGAGGAUCUGAUCACCUAUAUGGAUGCAAUGCAGAGGUAUGACUCCGAUAAAUGGCUUGGAGCCAUGCAAUCCAAAAUGGAAUCCAUGAAGGUCAAUGAUGUAUGGACAUUAGUUGACCCAUCCGAAGGGAUUAAACCCAUAGGGUGUAAGUGGAUUUUCAAAAGAAAACAGGGAGCAGAUGGUCAAGUUGAGACUUAUAAAGCUCGUUUGGUUGCCAAGAGAUAUCGUCAACGUUAUGGUAUUGACUAUGACGAGACGUUUUCUUCCAUGGCAAUGCUAAAGUCCAUUUGGAUUGUGCUUGCGUUAGCAGCAUAUUUAGAUUAUGAAAUCUAGCAAAUGGAUGUAAAAAUCGCUUUUCUAAAUGAAAAUUUAGAAGAGGAGGUGUAUAUGAUGCAACCUGAAGGUUUUAUAUCUGCAGAUGAGUCUAAGGUGUGCAAGCUUCAAAAAUCCAUUUAUGGAUUAAAGAAAGCUUCAUGGAGUUGGAACAUACGAUUUGAUAAGGUGAUCAAAUCGUAUGGCUUCAUUAAGAAUGAAGAGAAACCUUGCAUUUAUAAAUGGGCAAAUGGUUCAGCUAUUAUAUUUCUUGCUUUGUAUGUGGAUGACAUUCUUUUAAUCGGGAAUGACAUUCCUACAUUACAAAGAAUAAAGGUUUGGUUAUCAUCUCAAUUUGCCAUGAAGGAUUUGGAAGAAGUAUCUUACAUCCUAGGGAUAAAGAUGUAUAGAGAUAGAUCUAGAAAAUUGCUUGGAUUAUCCCAAUCCACAUACAUUGAUACUAUACUGAAGAGGUUCAGUAUGAUUAAUUUCAAGAAAGGCUAUUUUUCGAUGGGCCAUGGAAUUAACCUCUCUAAGAAGGAUUGUCCGACAACCCCUCAAGAAAGAUAGAGUAUGGAUAGAAUUCCAUAUGCUUUGGCAGUGGGAUCUAUAAUGUAUGCCAUGAUAUGUACUAUACCAGACGUGGCAUACUCACUAGGAGUAGUGAGCAGAUACCAAUCUAAUUCAGGUAGAAACCACUGGAAGGUUGUAAAAAUCAUCCUUAAGUAUUUGAGAAAUACUAAAGACCAGUGGCUUGUCUACGAUGAUUUUGACUUAAAACUUGAGCGAUAUACCGAUUCAAGUUUUUAGCCAGAUCAAGAUGAUAGCAAGAGCAUGUUGGGAUAUAUUUUUACUCUUAAGGGUGGGGCCAUCUGCUAGAAGAGUUUCAAGCAGCAUACAGUGGCAGAUUCUACAUGUGAAGCAGAAUACAUCGCAGCAUCUGAUGCCGCUAAGAAAGCUGUAUGGUUGCGGAAGUUCAUCACCGAGCUUGGAGUGACACCCUCCAUUGAUGGUCCAGUGCUUGUAUUUUGUGACAACACUGGGGCCUAGCUCAAGCAAGAGAACCAAAGCACAUCAGCGGACCAAGCAUAUUCUACAUCGCUACCACUUGGUUCGAGAGAUCGUCGAACGAGGUGAUAUUGAUCUUCGGAAGAUUGACAUAAAAGAAAAUUUGGCUGACCCAUUUACCAAAGUCCUCGGCAUCAAAGAGUUCAACGAACACAAGUCGAAGAUGGGUAUUAGAUACUAUGCCGAUUGACUUUAGGCUAAGUGGGAGUUGUUGGAAAUUGUAUCCUAAGAGUCAAUCGUCAGUGUGCUAAUGAUUGAAUUUUGUAAAUAAAUUAACAAAUUAAUAAAGUGUUAUUUGGCAUUAUUCAUCAUUUUAUUGUACAUCUUCAAAUGAACUCUUAUAUGAUGAAGUCCUUAGGACUUAUUUUAUGAUGAAGAAUGAUUUAUCUUCAAGUCCUUAAAACUGUUCGCGAUCAAAUGAUAUGUUGUUACUAGGAUGACAGCAUUAUCGAGAUUAGGUCGUUGUGUGACAUAUACGUUGGUUGUCCUCUUAACCAAGGAGUGUGGAGACACCGAUAUGUCACAUAGGUGAAGUGUAGAAGUACAUUUCACUGAAUGUGACCAAUUCCAGAACGCUCUACUGUCAAGAGAUAUUCCGAGUGGAUAUGGGUAUAAGUUUGGCCCUCUGACCUGAGACCGCAACCUGUGACUAGCAAGCAACUCACUGUACUUUAGUAUCGGACUACCUGAAUUUCUAAUUCAGUGACGGAAGGUCACUGGGUGUAGUCAAGUACUUACGUAGUCAGUUGCGAGUCGAGAUGGAAUUGACCCCUCCUGAAAAUAGAAGAUAAUGUCUUGUGAUUAAUUUAGCAAGAUCUUGGCCAGGGUAAUCCCAGUGAGGAGUCACGGGAUAUCUAAAGUUAAUCACGUAAUGAAUGUACUAAUUAUAGGGUUAACAGUGAGCUCUAAGUCAUCCUGGCAUUAGAAGUCAAAGGGAUGAAUUUUAUAGUAACCAUAGUCCAGGAUUCUAGAAUAUUUGCUUCGCAUAUAUCCGGCCUAUCCGGAUGUCGGGUACCAUUGCUAGAUGGUCAUUUCGAUUAGUACAAGAAGUUGUUCUUGUGCUACCGGCUUAGGUUCGAAUGACAAAUUAUCCUAAGCAAAAGUUGUAUUAAAAUAAUUAUUAAAUUAUUGGAGGGUUAAUUAGUAAUUGGAUUACUAAUAAAUUCAAUUUGAUUGAAUUAUUGGAUUUUAAUUAAGCCAAAUUGAAUUAGAUUCAAUUUGGGCUAAAUUAGGGUUUGACCUAAUUCGGUCGGGUUCGACCCGAGCCGAUUGGGCAUAACCUAAUUGAUCGGACUUGAUCCAAUUGGGUUGGGCUUGAUUCAAGUCAAUUAAGAGUCCUUAUUUGAUGAGGAUUAAGAGUCCAAAUAAUCAGAAUUUAUUAUGGAGAAGAAUUCCUAAAAUUUAGGAUCCUAGCUUUCUUUCUUGGAGAAGAAAGACAUCUCAUCCUUAUCCCUAAAAGCAAUGAUGUCUAUCCUCUUUAUUUUUGACCAAUUUUUGGAGGAAGGAAAGAGGAGGCGUGGGGCUAUUUUUCAGAAAAAUAUGGCGCCUCAAAUCUUCCUAAAAAGAUAGGAAUCAAAUCCCUAAUUUGCAGGGACUGCAUGGCGCAUCAAGCAGGGUGGCGUGCAGCUGAAGUUUGGGGAGCAAUAAACCCCUAAUUUUUAGGGAUUCUUGGCACAAGAUUAAAGAGAAUUUGUUCAUCUCUUAUCUGCCGAUUCACUAGAAUUUUUUGGAAAUUUUAUCAGCAAAAUUUGUUGGCCAAAAGAGGUGUGAGGCGUGGGGGGUCUUUUGGCUAUAAAAAGACCCCCACGCCUAGGGUUUAAAAAAUAUGGUCUUUAGAAAGGGUUCUAAAUUCUUAAAAAAUUUUGACCACCAGCUACCUUCUCUCCUCCUUCUUCUCCUUCAUCUCCAUCCUUCAUCCUCUCGAAGAAAAAUCAAAAGUUGAGUGCUUUGAGGGAGAAAAGUUCAGCCACUGCAGCACGUCUGCUCGAGCUAGCACUCCUGCAGUUGUGAAUCUUCCUAGAACUUUGCGUGGACUAUCCGUAGAGGCCUGACGCAUGUGCGGCUAUACAGGGUGAUCAAGGCAUCAUCAAAGUUCCCAAAUCAAAAAGGUUUGAGAUCUGAUCUCAUUAAAAAUUAAGAUUGGAAAUCAACUAGGUUGCUGAAAUUCUGCAUGACUACAUGUUAGACAUAGAAUCAUGCCUACUUGUUUAGGAUAAAUGUUUAAAGUCCUGGAUCUAUUUUUGUUGUAGAGAUAUAAUUUCUAGCAUGCAUAGAAAUUAAAUAGUUUAAUUCAUGCUUCCGCUGUAAAAUUUUUAAAAAUAUAUGCAUGCGACCACUGGGUUCCCAACACUCACAACCUUAAUAAUGAUCAUUAGACUGUUCUAGAAAGAAUUCUUCGGUACCUUAAAAGUACUAUAUCUCUGGGAUUACGCUAUUGUGCUUUAUCUUGUUAUUCUGUAAGGCUAUAGUGAUACAAUUGACACCAAAUCCACCACUAGUUUUAUUUUUCUUUUAGGAGGUGCUGUUGUAUCAUAAAGUCUUCCAAACAAACUGUAGUGGCUAGGAGCACCAUGAAAUGUGAAAUGAUUGCUCUAGAUACCACUAGCAUUGAGGCCGAGUGUGAGGAUGAUAAUGUUAUUUCGAUGAUUAAUACAACAAUUGAGAAAAUAUCAAAUUAAUAAUACAGUUUAAGUUGAUACAUCACUAAUGAAUACCACACCCUCGAUACACUCACAAUACAUUGAAAGAAUGAGAUUAAGACGACUCACAAUGAUUAACAACGAGAUAAAAUAUGUAGUAGAAAAUGAUAGAGAGCUUUUAAAAUCUAUUUCGGCAAAGUUUCAAGUAAAGUAUACUCUUAAGGGCAAAACUGUAAUUUUAUUAUUAAGGGUAUGAAGCUCUAUUGUGUCAUACACUCAUAAUUAUUUGAAAAGUGUUCUAUUGAUCCUAUGAAUUAGUCUAACCUUAAGAUACAUAAAAUUGUAGGUUGAGUCGACCCCAAAGAGGUUUGGAGUCGACCAUGAUACAUAUGGCACGCACUAUGCUGACCCAAAGAUUGAUUUUGAUGAUCACAAAAUUUUGAAGUAUAAUUACUAAUAUUUGUGUUGCAAGAAGAAAGAUAAUUUGUUUUGCAAGAAAUAUAGCGAGUUGGAAAAAUACAAGAAGGCCUCAAAAGCUCUCAAGAAAAGUUGGAAGAAAGCCACAUUUUAUUGGCCCAAGAUUCAAGUUCAAAGGAUUCAAGUUGGAGGAGCAAAUUCAAAAAAAAAUUCAAAAGAACAGUUUUCGAGUCGACUCUCAGGAAGUUCGAGUCGACUCCGGCACAAGCAUUGAAUAUUGGCACACCUUCGAGCCGUCUCCACCAAGUGCGAGUCAACUCUCCCAAAAAGAUAGAAAGAGGUAUUUCCAGUCGCAAAGCGCGAGUCGACUCGAGUCAAGUGCGAGUCGUCUCCUAUCCCGCGGACGAAGCGCAAGUCGCCUCUUCACUAGUAUGAGACGUCUCUCUCAGACAAAGACAGAAAACUUAUUUUCAGAGGACGAAGAUGCGAGACGACUCCCGAACCAUGCGAGCCGACUCCAACGAGAAUCGCCCGAUAAUCUGUCAGAGGGAUUCCGAGCCAGAGCCGACUCCAGAAUCAUGCGAGACGUCUCCCACUUGAGCCGAGUCGACUCCUGACGGGCGAGACAACUCCAUUACGACUGGGAUGCAUAACGGCUAGUUUUUUCUCAACUCCAACGGCUCUAUUUUUGUCUCUAACGGCUAGAUCUUUGUUCCCACGCCAUCCAAAGCUAUAAAAUUAAGGAGAGAGCAAGGGGAGAAGAGGGAGAGAACACGUAGGAAAGAAAUUUCAAAGAGAUUUUAAGAGAAAGCUCCCAAAAGCACAAAAGGGUCAUUCAAAGCAAAAGAGAGAGAAGAAAAGCAACUGAGUGAAUCCCAAAGCUUUCUCUCCAACUGUGUGCUGCCUCAGUGAUCUUCUAGCUCGUGCAAAAUCAGAAGAGGGUCAAGUAAAUGAGAAGUUGAGCUCUUUAAUCUGCAAACCUUAUUUGAGGGCUUCUUCUCUUUACUCUAUUUGUUUAUAUUGUUAUAUCUGCUUAUUUGAGAAGCUUGUAUUUGUUUUAAACUUCUAUUCUGACAUCUUGUAACUUGAUUCAAUCAAGGGAUUGAAUCAAGGGGUUAAGGGUUGUUGGUGAGCCAGUGAAAACCAACGUUGUAGGUUGUAGUUGGUAAUCCAGAAAAAACCAACUGGGUUAGAUUAUAAGCCCGGAAAAACAAUCGGUUUGGUUUUAGUCGGUGAGCCUGGAAAAACCGAUCGAGUUCAUUGUGAUCUUGUGAAAACAAUAAGUUAGGUUGUGAGCUUGUAAAACAACCGGCUGUAAUAUGAGGGAUUAUAGUGAAAUUUCCAAAAGGUCUUGGAGAGUAGAUGUAGGUGCUGGGGUGCACCAAACUACUAUACAUCUUUAUAUUUGUAAUGCCUUAUCUCUUGUGCUUAAUGCCUUAUAUUCAUACUUGAUUGUAUAAUAGCUCUAGCUUUAUUUUUUAUCAAUAUAUGUGAUUGUUUAGAGCUUGUUUAGCUUCCACUGCAUUCAUACCAUUCACAUAGAUUAAAAUUGACCAUACAACUAUAAGUUAAUUUUAGAUCAAUUGUAUCUUAAGUAUUCAAGAAAGAAUUGAUCCGAUUAAAUUUUAAUUAGAAAACCCAAUUCACCCUCUCUCUUGGAUUGUCACCUUGGACAACAAAUGGUAUCAGAGUAGGUGCUCAAAGGUUAAUUAUUGAUCUCACGAUCAAGAGCCAAAGAUCAUGACAACUCAAAUAGAUAGUUUUCUAGGAGAGGGACAAUUAAUUGAUAGAUCUCCACUAUUUAAUGGCAUAAACUACACACAUUAGAAAGCACGCAUGCGCAUUUUCAUUCAAGCACAUGACUAUGAUUUAUGGAGUAUCAUAGUCAAUGGUCCACACACAAAUACUAAUCAUGAUAAGAAAAUGGCUCGGCAAAAUACAAAAGUCAUGAAUAUUCUAUAUUAUGCAUUAGAUGAUAGUGAACUUAAUAGCAUAUCUUUCAGCAUAACUGCUAAGAAAAUCUGAAAUAUGUUUGAAGUUAAAUAUGAAUGCACUAACAUUUUUAGUGAAUCUAAAACUAGCUCUGAAGAAGAAGAACAGCAAACUGAAAUUGAAAAUCUUUGCUUUGUGGGACAUGAAGAUGAGGUAUGUACUAGAACUCAAAGUGAUUUCUCAUUCAAAGAUGAAGUACAUGCUGAAACUCAAUCUGAUUUUACAUUUGAUGAAUUUUAUGAUGCUUUUUCUGAACUAUACUUAGAAUAUAAGAAACUUAGUUUAAGGAAUAAAAAGCUAAAUCAUAAAAAUCUAUCUCUUGCUGAAAGCUAUGAUAUAAUUCAGAAAAACAAUGAAUUGCUCUUAGAAGACAAUGAAAGAUUAACUGAUAGUCAACUUUAAAGACCAUGCAAUAGCACGUACCUUGUAGGAUAGUAAUUAUGGGUAUCGGUCCACAGGAAUUGGGGUACAGUUAUUUUCUUAAAAAUAUUUAAAAAGAAAGUUUGUGAAGACUAUUGAACUAAAUAAUUUAAUAGGAAAUGCAAUUAAAAUGAUAUUAGUUGGGAGAACCUAGGGAAAGAAAUUCACCACUAACAAAGCAACAAGGAUUAAUUGUAUUUUAAUUUAUUCUUGAAUUAACAUGCAAAUUAGCUACAAGCCUAAUAAGCAUUCAAAUUAAGUUUCACAAAAGUAAUUUAGGAACAUCCAUCUUUGGUUGGCAUAAAAUGUCUACCCUAAACUAAUGUGGCAGGACACUGCAUCUUCCCUAAGCAUGGGUGAUCUUUUAUUAACUUAGUAAUCAUAAAGAACAGUUGUAUAAACAUCAUACUUAAAAUCAUAGAAAUUAAAUAUGAGAUAGAAUAAAAUAUUUAUUAAGAACAAAAUAAAGUUUAUACAAUUUCAAGAAUAGAAAUCAAAAAUACAAAAUCUUUAGCCCUUUGUUAGGGCUGCAUCCAACCCUAGUGAAGAGAUCAGUUUUCCAUGGUGUCGUGGGUGAUAGCAGCAGUGGAGAGUGCUUCAACUUUCAUCACAAUCGGCUUCUUCCCUUCCUCCCUCCUUCCUUCUGUGACUUCCAUGGAAAACUCCCUCUCAGCACUUCAUUAUUUUUUCUAUGGAAAGUUAUUCCCAAAAUACCCAAAGUAUUCUCUCCCUCCUUUUACUUCUGUGGAAACUCAACCUGAGAAGAGAUGAUCCACGAAGAAGAGAAGUCUCCUCCUUUUAUAGCUUCACCAGCCCCCCUGUUUCCCGUGAAGGAUCUGAUUUUCGAGUGAGGAUAUGUAGGCGAAGGAUCGGCCUUCUGUUCCGUGGACAUGGGCGAGACGCGGAGAGAAUCAUCACCGGCUGGAUUUUCUUGAACGGAGUGAUCCGGAUGAUUUUGAAUUGGAUCCAUAGAUCAGUAGCUGGACUUGGGAGGAUGGAGUUGAUCGUAUCCCAGAAUGGUUGCGGCUGCAACUGGAUUGGAAGAAGCCGACACUGCUUCAACGCGGAGGACGACGGGGGCGUGGAGAGGAUUCUGUGCUGGCUCUCAUUUGGACACGCGGAGCAGGGGAGCUUCAAUUUGGGCGCGGGAUUUGGAUGGAUCACGGAAAACCGCUGGGACUCUGUUCCCAAUCAAGGGGAUCCUGAAGAAAUGAUCACGGACAUGGUUGAAUGCUGGGCGGGAUCCGUGGACGAUGGAGUUAAUCCGAAUGGGAGGAAGGUUGUGGACGCUUGUAAGGCGCGGUGAUUCCGUGGAUAGGAGCGGAAUGGCUGGGAGGAAAUCUGGGAGGAUGAUGCUUGACUUGCAGACGCUGGGAAGAUUGGUUGGUUUGCAUCGCAGGAGGAGUCCGUGGGUCUCGGCUCUGCGAAGGAUAAGUGGGAUUACGAACGGGAUGUACGUGAAACAGGGGAGAGAAUCAAGGCAUAUCUAAAAGCAAACGGGAGAUGGGAUCUUGAUACUUGGUUCCGAAGUAUGGAAUAAGGAUGUGUGAGCUAUAUUCAUGCGGAUGGCGGACAUGAGAGGAUGCUCUGUUCCGAAGCAUGGAUUAUCCGAGAUGAUGGAGUUAAUUCCGAACGGGAUGAGGAUGCAGGGGAUUCGGAGAAGAAGAUGGGUUGGUUCCGAAGAUGGCUGGGAUGUGAUCCACGAAAUGGGGAGACGAUGACGCUGAAAUGGAGACGUGAGAGGAUCUCAGAGGUUGGGAUGCAGGGGAUUCGCUGGGAGGAAUUCAUGGGGCGAUUGAAGUCUGCAUUCGGCAACGCUGGGAGGACUCCUUUGAGGGUGGAAGCUGGGAAUGAGCGUGGAUUUUAUUCCAUGCGUUGAGAAAGGUGGUUGGGGUCCACUCAGAUUGGUUGGAAGAUGGCUCUGUUUUGAAGCUAUAAAUAGGGAGGGUUUGAAUACGUGGAAAUGAAGUCUUGAUUGGUGAGUGCAUGAAGAAAAAGAAGGCUGGGAUGGGAUGCAGUGAGUCUUAGAGGAGAGCUUUUGGAGUUGACUCCGGAUGAUGUGGAGUCGACUUUGAUUGGCUGUGGACUUGUGAAAUGGUGCAGUGUGACUUUAGGCAUUAUCCAGUUGAGUUUGACUCGACCUGCAUACAUUAGGCUCAAUCAAUAAAUAAUUAAACCAAACUUGAAUUACCUCUAAUAAUUUAUUAAAAUGCAAUGAUGAGGGGAAACAUAUUUUCUUAUGUUUAAAUUUAAAAUAUGUGCAUAACAAUAAUAAUAAGUGCUAUGUAAAAUAGAUAAAUUUAUACAUUAUUUAGCACUGAUCAUUAACUAAAGAAGUUAACAAAUUUAAGCCUAUAGUUGAAAAAUUUACUAUCAACUCUGAAAAAUUGAACUUAAUGAUAAAUAAUCAAAGAGCUGAAUUUGAAAAGGCUAGAUUAGGAUAUCAAUCUUGGUACACAUAAAAAUUCUUUAAUGACAUAUGUGUUAAAUCCUCCACUGAUCAUCCUAAAACAGUUUUUUCAAAAAUCUGAUGAACCUAAUGAACAAAAGCAGAAAAUUGAAAAUUCAUCAUCUACUUAUGUUAAAUCUAUGUUUGUUAAAUUUAAUAAGAGUAUGCAUAAAUACAUUCCUUGUAAUCUAAAACCUGCAAACUAAUAAACAAAAUAGUUAUCAAAAAAAUAUGGGUUCCAAGAGGAACAAUUAUAGCUAACCUGAAAGGAUCCAAAAGAGUUUGGGUUCCUAAGUUGAAAACCUGAUUAUUUUUUAGCAAGUGUGUCUAGCUAUCCAAGGUUCUAAUGAAAGAUGUUAUCUGUAUAAUGGGUGCUCUAGACAUGUGUUAAAGAAUUAAAUUUAAAAUGUAAUUAAGAGGAGUGAUUAAAAUGAAAGAAAUAAUGAAAUAAGUACUUCUUGCAUCCUCUCAUAUUGAAAUUAUUUUAUUAGUUGAUUAAAACAUAACUUGCAAGUAUUAAUCAUUUUUGUGAUAUAAGUGAUAUUUUUAGUAUGAAAAAAAAAUAUAUCCAAAUCACUCCAUCUUUCUAUAUUAUGCUUUACCUAUUGAUGGAUAAUUUGGUAAAUCAAUUCUCCUAGAAUAACUCUAUGAAUUCUCUAUAUGCUUGAUUGAGAGUUCUUAUCCAUGGCAUUAUCUUUUAUUGAUCUUAGGCAUAAGAAUGUGUACUUGGUAUAUUUUUAGAUAUAUGCAUUAUGAAUACCAAGAUUAAAGAAAUGAGUUUUGCCAUAUAAAAUCAACUUAUGCUAGUAUGGACUUAAUCUCAAAAAAACUUGUCAUUGGUUUACUUAGAUUAAUUUCUGCAAGGACAAAGUUUGCUAUGCAUGUCAACUAGAAAAACAAACUAGAAUACUCUCUAAAUCUGAAAAUAUUGUUUCCACCUCUUAGUCUUUGAAAAUUCUCCACAUAAACUUAUUUGGAUCUCUAAGAGAUAAGCUUCUUGAUUUAUAAUUGUGAAUGAUUUCUCAAAGCUUACAUUGGUUUUGUUUUUGGCACUUAAAUUGAAAUAUUUUCUGCAUUGGCACAGACUUACAAUAGAUUUCAAAUGAAAAAGGUUUGCAAACUGUGAAAAUAAAGAAGUAUCAUGGCACAGUUUUGAAAACUAAUGUCGUGUUAAGUUUUGCACAGAAAAUGAUAUUGAAUACAAUUAUUUCUGCACCAAGAACAUCAUUGCAUAUUGAGUUUGUAAAAAGUAAAAAUAAAACUGNNNNNNNNNNNNNNNNNNNNNNNNNNNNNNNNNNNNNNNNNNNNNNNNNNNNNNNNNNNNNNNNNNNNNNNNNNNNNNNNNNNNNNNNNNNNNNNNNNNNNNNNNNNNNNNNNNNNNNNNNNNNNNNNNNNNNNNNNNNNNNNNNNNNNNNNNNNNNNNNNNNNNNNNNNNNNNNNNNNNNNNNNNNNNNNNNNNNNNNNNNNNNNNNNNNNNNNNNNNNNNNNNNNNNNNNNNNNNNNNNNNNNNNNNNNNNNNNNNNNNNNNNNNNNNNNNNNNNNNNNNNNNNNNNNNNNNNNNNNNNNNNNNNNNNNNNNNNNNNNNNNNNNNNNNNNNNNNNNNNNNNNNNNNNNNNNNNNNNNNNNNNNNNNNNNNNNNNNNNNNNNNNNNNNNNNNNNNNNNNNNNNNNNNNNNNNNNNNNNNNNNNNNNNNNNNNNNNNNNNNNNNNNNNNNNNNNNNNNNNNNNNNNNNNNNNNNNNNNNNNNNNNNNNNNNNNNNNNNNNNNNNNNNNNNNNNNNNNNNNNNNNNNNNNNNNNNNNNNNNNNNNNNNNNNNNNNNNNNNNNNNNNNNNNNNNNNNNNNNNNNGGUUUUUGAAACCACCGCGUACCGGCCGGUACGGGACCGGUACCAACCGGUACGGGACCGGUACCAACCGGUACGUACCGAAUCGGACCGGUACCGUACCGGUCCGGCCGGCCACCGGUACGCCGACCGGUACCGGUACGGCGGACCUUGGAUGUGACAUUCUACCUCCAAGUAAUCUUGUAGAUCAUCAUCUACAAGGUUCUUGAUCAACAAAUCUUUUUUAUGGUAGCAGCUUUGCAUGACAGAUUCCCACAAAGCAAGCUCUUCACGUGAUAAAGCUUAAACAUUGACCUAUCCAUUAGCGAUGCUUCUUCAAUAAUAUGACUCUUGAUGUAUGGUUUUGCCUCAAGGAGCUUUUCACCAAAUAGUGUUGCUGCAAUUGCUUGAAUGUAGAAUUAAUUGACACCAAAACAUUGUUGAUGAUAGAUUUUAAUCCUGUGUUGAUUGAUAUAAAAAACAAUGCACGAUCCUAAAGCUCUUUCUAGCAUGUUGAUAAAGUAUCUCAAGUUUGAAAUUCAACUCUUCGCUUGUUAACAUGACAUAAAGGAACAAUAAGGAAGAACAGAAAAAGACACCAAUGAAAAAUUGAGGAUAAACAAACGGGCUCCUUUAGCUUUGUUACCAAAUUGAUAUGGCACCAAUUAGGGAUGGUCUACGAUGCAUGGAUGGGCAUAUGGAUGAGUUUAAUACAAGUGUUAAGGUCAAAAACUUUGCUCGUUACCCAACUUCCAAAACUACGACAAAGCAGGAUAGUUAUAAUCAAAAAGGAUCAAAUAAUAUUAAAAUAUUCAGAUUAAAAUGAGAGUAAAAUAGGCAUACAAUAUGUUCCACAUGGUAAAUAUGCUAGAAAUAUUACAUUAGUGCUAAAGAAAAAAAGAUCAUCAUUAGAUUAGGUAAUGAACAAUGGAGAAGAUGAGAGCUAGAGCUGAAGAGGAUGAUAGAAAGAGGCCAGGGGAGGGAAUGCCCCGGGGGUGAGGGAGAGAAGAAAUGAGGUCAAACAUGACCGAAACGUUUCUUCAAACAAAUUAAUUCUAAUAAAACACUAAAAUUCGUUACUCUAUAUGGACCUUUACGUCACUCUAUAUGGACCUUUACUUGUAUGCACCAAAAACAACUAGAAAAUAUUCUACUCAAGAAAGGACUCUUAGCAUACCUAUUGUGACUACAAGAGAAAGAGAGAUAUAUGAAACUAUAUGCCCAAGGAAAAAGUGAUAAAAUUUAAUCAGGGAAAAUGUGGCAUUAUUCAUGCAUUAUUUAAAGAAAAUUGGAAUUUAAGCAUUGAACCGAGACAAAGUGGGAUUAUGUAGCUAACUCUAUUAAGAAAGUUCCUAGAAGAAUCCUAAGAAAGUCAAGGUAAAAAAAAUACAUCCAAAGAAACAUGAUUUAUAAAAGUGAUGAAUGAGAAGAAUCGAGCAAAAAGGGCUUGUUUUAAACAACCACCAAAAAAGAACAAUGAUUUUAAAAGAUUAGAAAGACUUAGGAGGAUGCAAAAAAUUAAGAAAGGUGAAAAGAGUGACUUAAAGAUAAUUUUUUUGACAAGUUGAGUUUAGAAGAUGAGAAAAAAAAUGCAUGUUAGUUACGAUGGGGGAAGAAAAGCAGAGGUAUAGAUGAAAUUUGACGCAUCAAGAGCAAGGAUGAUAGAGUUUUAGAAAACAUGAAAGAAUUGGAAAAAAAAGAUGGAAAAGAUAUUCUGAAUGUUUGUUCCAUGGGUGCUGUUGUCAGGUAACUACUUCCUCAACAAAAAGCCAGAAUUGAUGAAUAAAAAUUCAAAAGCAUGCUGAAAGUUAAGGACAAGAUGAAAUAGCUGGCUGCAAAAUCAUGAAGGAAUGGAGCUAAUUUGGAUAAAUAGCUUAUUCAAUUGGACUCUGAAGAACUAGAAAAAAAGCAACUACAGAUGUAUUGUGGUGCCCAUUUAUAAGAAUAAAAUAAUAUCCAAAAUUACAUAUCGUGGAAUUAAAUUUGUGAUCCAUCCUAUGAAGUUAUGCAGAGGGUGAUAAAACAAUGAUUAAGAAUAAUGACAGGUCUCUAAGAAUCAAUUUGGUUUUUUGUAGAGGCCAUCUUCUUGCUUAGGCAAUCAGAGAGAAAACCCUUGGCCUUAUUGACCUAGAGAAAUCAUAUCACAAGGUACCAAUAGAGGCAACUUAGUGGACAUUAAGGAAGAACUCUAUACUAUAUAUAAAAAUGACAGUUUGGAAAUCAGGGAAUAUUCCAUUUUUAAUUGUCUAUCAAUUUUUAUGCUGAGAAUACCCUCCUAUCUAUCCUAAAAAUACAUUACUUACCCCACUAACUUUCUCACUCCCCCGCACUCUCCUCUUUUCCAAUCAGAUCAUACCUCUCUCAUAAACUCCCAAACAAAUUGGACACUUUCUCUAAUUUGACUUUGAAAUAGAUUGGAUUCUCAAAUUCAACUGCAGAAUAGAUUGGAAUAUAACUCUUUCUUCCUCUCUUCUCUCAAAUAUGCAUUGCACAUGCCUGGUUGCUAGGAUGCAAAGAAUGCUGAAUCGGCCCGUACCGGCUGGUUCAGCAUGUACCAAACCGGUCCGGUCAGUCGGCGUUAAAAAACAGUACGACCCAUACCAGUCCGAACCGGUCCGAACCGGCCCGUACCUGCUAGGCCAAAUCUUUUUGGACUUUUGGAGGCCGAACCAGUGGUACCGGUUUGAUACCAAUUUGAACUGGUCUGAACCGAUACCGAAUGGGUCCGGUGGCUAACCGGUACCGGUUCCGCGAUCCUUGCUAGUAUGUGCAUCAGUGUCCGCCGAGCUGACCGAACCGGUGUACCGGUGGGCUCCCGUACCGGUUGGAACCGGUGCGGAACCGGAAAAAAAAAGGUGACGCACGCGCGGACCGCGUUUUAGCCACAGAGUGGUAUUAAAUGAGACUCUGUGGCAUUAAAUGCCCCACGCAGCCCCGUGUGGGUUAGCGCUCGCGCGCGGUGCCGUAUGGGCUCGCUGCCUUGUGCGAGUCUCCGCGGGAAAACCGUGCGAGCGCGGGGAAUCGCGUGGGAUCGAGAUUCCUGCGCGUGGAAUCGCGCGCGGGACGAGUGAUUCUCCGCUCGCGGGCGCGCGGGCGCCACGCAUGGAAAUUUUUUUUUUUCCUUUCCUUCUUCCUCCUUCCCGAACCCUCUCCUCCUCUUCUUUCUUCCCCUCUCUCCUCCUCUCUUCUCCUCUCUUUCCCCCCUUCUCCCGUGAGCAAGGAAGGAACCGUUAGGAGGGCCGCGUGCGCGUCGGGAUGCUCGGGAGGGGGUUGGCCCGAGGUAUGUCGAACCGUCUUCUUCUUCUUCUCCUCUUUCUCUUCUUCUUCCUCCUCUUCCUCUUCUUCUUCCUCUUCUUUCUUCUUCCCCGCUCGGUUCCGGCCCUGAACCGUUUUAUGUGGCUGUACCGUACCGGUGGGGGUCGGUACCGGUACAGUAUGUGCUGAAUCGGCCGGUACGGGCCGGUUCAACAGACCUUGAUGUGCAUAAAUGGUACAUAAAUUCAUUAAGAACAUGUAUAUUGGAUAAUGUCACAUAUUAGUAGUAGUUGUGGUGACACAAGUGAAUUUCCUGUCAAAGUUACCAAGAGUCGGUACUAGACCCAUAUCUCCAUCUAUAAUAGAUCUGUUCACAGAAAAACUCAAGAAUAUAUCCCAUAAUGGCAUAAUCCAUGGCAAUUGUUGAUGACACUAUACUGACAUAUAAGAUGACAAGAUGGCGUACUCCAUGGCAAUUGUAGAUGAUAUUAUGCCGACAUAUGAGAAGAUGACAAGCUUGAAAGGCUGAAAGCCAAAUCGUGAUUAUUUAGAGAACAAAGACAAAAUCACAGCAUGGAAAUAGAGUAGAUGGAACACAUUGCCAAUGUAAAUAGGAAUGAAAACAAGGCCAAUUUGACUGACAGCAUAUCAAUUUUGUUUCCCUUAUAUCUAUUAUACAGGAGAAUUGAAGAAGAUCUAUUUGAAUUGAAUUUAAGUAGAUGAUGUCAGGAAUUCUUUUGUAAAAGGUGAGCCUUGGCGCAAUGGAAAAGGUUGCUCUAUGGUAUAGGUGUCAAGGGUUUGAAACAGAAAACGGCCUCUCCGCAUGCUAGGGUAAGGCCAUGGAUAUCUAACCCUCCCUAGACUCUGCAAUGGCGAGAGCCUCAUGCACUUGGCUACCUUUUUUAUGUCAGGAAUUCCCUUUGUGCAGUGUUAUGUAACCAAUGCAGUCCUUGGCAACCUAGUGUGAAAGUUAAAGGAAAAAUGGGUAGCUAUCAAUGCUGUAAACAUUAAACAAUAAAGAGAGUUCAAGUGAACAAGAUAAACAUCGCAUAAAAUGAGAUAUGACCCAAACAUGAGAUAAAAUAAAUAUACUCUUAUACUUUGAUAAUAAGAACUCAAAUAAUAUGACAACGCACCUCCUUGUACAACCUUAUAGCAUGUUGAUAGAAAAGUUUUUUUGAAUAUCCAGUUACUUUCCUUAGUCUGGAAAUAGCAUAUGCAUUCUUCAUCUGCAAGAGUCACAAAACCGACAUGUCAAUCACCAUUUAUCUGAAAGCAACCAAUGAAGUAGACAAACUUUCUAAAUUGGGUACAUGUAUCCCUUCAUCCAUAUUGGUUGUAACUUUCACUCACAUCGAAAAUUUGUACACAAAUCAACCUUUAAAAAACAAAUAACUAAAGAAGAAUAUAUGCAAUAACAUCAACUCCAAAAUUUUGAUUAAAUUAAUCAAAAAAUAAUUGGAUUGAACUAAAUUACCUUAGGUUUGAAAUAAAUAGCAACUACAGUCUUCAUUCCUAAUUUACAUCAGAUCUAGUACCAGAAAAGACGAUGAGGUUUGCUUCUAUGAUAUGUCAUAUUUUAGCCUAUUAUGACCAAACCUAGUCUACCUGAAUCAAGAGUGGUUGCAGGAUCAGAUAUGGAUUCAUAUCUAGGGAAGUAGAUGUGUCAAAAAAUAUUAAAUAUAUAGUUUUGCAAAUCCCUGAGGAAGCCAGUGCAAGAGAAGCAAGUUUUUGGGAAGAUACUAACUAGGAUAGAACUUUUCAACUCCUAAGAGCCAACAUACAAGUGUGAUUUAGUCUUUUGGCUUGUGGCAGCCAAUAAGAUUGAUUAUUGAUUGUGAGUAAAAUUAUAGUUUCAAAAUAAGUGUUUAACCAAAGUUCCUAACUCUUGUGCAGGAGCCGAAAAGAGACAGCAAUCAACUGCCAAAUCUUUAUUGAAUGUAAGCUAGCAAUUGUGACUUAGAACCAUUUUCUCAACAUGGUGAACAUCUCUGGGUCUCGCAAAAAACCAAUAAACAGGUAAAGCUAUUAAGGUGUAGAGACAAAAUCUUACGAAACACCUUUAUUAUUAAUAUUUAUUAGAACUCUGCAAGAAUUUGUCCUUUGACCACCAUCAGUCACCCCCUUCCCAUCCAUUAUAGCACAAUGCCCCAACUGCAAUGGUUUAACUCUAGAUAUAACAUGCAAAAGACAAAAUUAUGCUUUCAUAUUUCUUGUUCACCUUUCUUACUUGGACCGUCGGGUUAAAUUCCAAUACCAGAUGUCCCAAAACUCGCACAUGUUCUCUUUGCUGCCUCUGUAUGGUAGCACCUUCAUUGUUGUUUCUGCCCAUGACCCACCCUCAACUGCAAUUCAAACUUGCCAUGCUCCAAAACCACUUCCAAAUUUCAGCAAGCAUGUCUUUGAACCAGCUCUUCCCAAGUUUGGUACUGAGAGAUUCAUAAUCGCAACCAUUACACACAAUGCACCUUUGUGCUUGCUUUAGACAAGCUAGAAGAAAAUCAAAAACUAGGCAGAUUUCCUAGCAAGGGAAACAUGGAAUGGCAAAGUGGGCACAUAGAAACACUUCUGUAAAUUUUUCCUGAGAUUAAAUAUUGAUCCAAAUGUCUGUUUCCUGAUUCAUGAGCUUAAAAAAGUUAAGGUUGGUCUUCCUUCCAGGCAACUAGUCUUUUGGGUUUUAUAUCAAUAACUCUCUUGCUUCAGGUUUACUUCAUCAUGUAGCUAAUUUUUAGAGGGUUGACAUCAAGUUCAAAACUAGUCGUAAGAUAUCCUUAAAAUGAAGAUAACCAAGAAACUCGACCCAUGUAAAUGGGAUUAAGCUUGUUGCCAAAUGUUCAGAGAUGCUGUGUAAACAAGGAUGCUAAGCCAAUUUGCAAGUCGUGUCCCACUCUUUUCUGAUCUCUUCCACGAUAUUGAUCUGUUUACCAAUACAAAGUAUAGAAAUUGGCCCUUCAUUGAGUAUUUUUUUGGUCAUUAUAAUGUGAACUUGAUAAUGAAACAGGAGUAUAUUUUUUUUAAAUAUAAUUAAGGUCCUUAAGACCUUCUCUCAGACAUUUAGCUUCUCCUUUGUUCCUGUUUCACGUGCUUUUUCGGUGCAAUGGACCAAGAUAUGACCGAACAUUCCAAUCCAGAGUGCAUAAGAUCAUUUUACAUUUGUACAAAACCAACCAGUAACCACCCUUGAGUUGAUAAAUAUAUCUAAUGAAUCUAAUAAUAAACGAACGAAAACUAAGGAACAUCCAUAAAAUCACAUAUACAUGCCCAAGAAGAUUGUAUAACUGAUUGGGUAACUAAAAGCUCUAAUCUGGUGUGACAUGCAAUUUUCAGAAUUCUACUAUCAUUGUGCUUCACAGAAUAGCACAUGGUAAAUUUUGGGAAGAAAAAGCAUGACAAUUCCCAAACAAGGGGAUGCAUCUAUUAUAAGAAAGCACUGAUGAGGUGUUCAAAAAUAUCUUGAUGCAAAUUCUAGAACUAAAACAAAGCGAGAUCCCAAUUCCACCAACAAGAAGGCUACAGAAAAGGAGUAUCUUCAAGAUCUGGGCUAAGCAAGGAACAAAGAUGUUGGACAAUUGGAGAUAAAUUGUAAUGAGGCAUGUUUUCAUGGAAUAUGAUGAGUUGGAAUAUUAUUUAGGAAGGAAGUGGUUGGCAAGACAAAGCUUAAGGCGUUAGUAAAGGUCUUGUGGAUCCUUCAUAACUUGAAUCAAGUUAGUAGUUUUGGUAGCUGUGGCAUUCUGCGUUCUUUUCAAUUUUCUAUAAUAGUUCUAUAACUCAAGGAUAGAUGAUGUUUGUAUAACCAAUACUAGUACGAUAAGAGACAUUCAAAUCAAAUUUGAGUUUCAGAUUUCACUUUUGCUCCAAGAUUCAUUAAACACAUUAUCCCAACAUUAGAAUCCCAAUUCUCAACAUUAGAAUAUACUACAGGUGUCUAUUGAACUUCAACAGGCCAGUCGCUUGUGGCGAGUGCUGAAGAGAGAGGAGACCAACAGUGGACUUAUGGAUAUACCAAAGUCUGCCGAAGUGGGCCAAACAAGGUUCGCCGUACCGGUACCGGUCGGCGUACCAGUGGCGGCCCGGACCGGUACGAAACCGGUCCGUACCGAUGGCGUACCGAUGGCGUACCGGUCCAAACCGAUGGCGUACCAGUCCGAACCGGUCCCGUACCGGUUCUUCAACAAUAAACUACCGGUACCGGAUUCCACGCUGAUCUGGUAUCGGUCCCAGGCCGGACCGGUACGUAUCGGCCCGUACCAGCCGGUACAUACCGAUACGGCAGACCAUGGGGCCAAACCAGCCGGUUCGGCCUGUAUUGAGCUGACCUAGCGGGGGAUCAGAUCGGUUCGCCUCUUUUUUCAAAAUCGACUCCAAACCGGCCGGAACAGGUCCUGAACCGAUAGGAGCAAACCGGAACGGGAGGCCGGAACCGAUUGCAAACCUCCUGAACUAGAUCUGAAUCGGGCAGUUCCGUGCGAACCAUCCACUUCGCACCGAGUUGAACCAGUUCCAAACCGGCCCCCUUCCCCCUCUUUCUUUUGUUUUAAAGGAUGAUUGGGAAGGCUUGAGAAGUUUCUCAGGCCUUCCCAACCUAUUUGAAUACUUCUCGUCUUCCCCGCAGCAAAAAAUACGCUGAUUUAGCAUGAUUGGGGGAUGCAACCCUAAAUAAGGUAUGCUUCCUAUCUCCUAUCUCAUUUUCUCUUCUUUUUUUAGAUGCCAAAAAAUAUCUUAAAAUUUGCAAAAUAAAAGAUCAUGCCAAAAUUUUUGAUGCUGGCUUGAUUUUAAAAUAUGUUGUAGAUCUAUGGAUGAUCUACACGAUGACAUAAAAAAGUUUAAUUUUUAAAUUAUACAUAAUUUUUAAAAAUUAAAAAUAUAUUUUUAAAAAUAUAAAAAAUAUUUAUAAAAUCAAAAGCGAUAGGGGCAUGCAAGCUACUCUCCAGCUAAAUUUGAUAUCUAUUUAUUCAAUUUUUGAUACGAUCAUGCGCAUAGUGGCCUAGGCCUAAAUUUAAAAAAAAUGAGAAAUAAAUAGCCUUUGAUGCAUGUCCACGAGCCUACAAAAAUAUAUAUAACAUUCAUCGUAAGAUUCUACAUGAAUAUGAGCUCAAAUUAAUUUUUUAAAAUAUUUAUAUUUAAAAAUUAUUUUUAAUUUAAAAAUAAUUAAAAAUAUAUAAUUAAAUAUCAAAAAUAUAAAAAUUAGUAGUACGUAAAAUAUAUCUCAAAAGUAUUUUCUGAAGUAAAAAAUAUAUUUUUCUGAAUUCAUGGUGUUUAAAUAUAUUUUUAAUUUAAAAAUUAUUAAAAAUAUAUAAAGAAAUUAAAAAAAUGAAAAAUUAGUAUUAUGCAUUAGAUAAAUAUGAUAUAUUUUCUGAAGUAAAAAAAUAUAAUUUUAAUCAUAAUAAAAUUUUGCUAUUUUUAAAUAAUUGAUAAACUGACGUACUUGAUAAAUCUGCAGGAAUGGAACAACCAAGAAAAAAAGGAGCCAGAGCAUGACAUUAGUUGUAAUCGUGGAAAAAUGCUCUCGAGUUGGCACCAUUAGAAGUGCAACUGCUGCAACACAGAGUUCAAUGAAGGAGAGGUAGCCAGAUUGAAGCAGCACUUAGUUGGUGUUACCCCGAUGUGUCUAUGUGCCGAAAAUGCCCACAAGAGGUUUGGCAACUAAUGAAGAAGCACUUCGCUAAUUUCAAAGUAGUGAAGAAGAAAGUUUCUAAGAAAAAGGUGGAGGUGGACCGCCAAGCGGCAAAGCCACCAUCCUAUCACUUUAGAGAGUCAGAGGAGACGUCCGCUCUAGAUGACAAGGAGGCACAAAUUCAAGCUGCCAUGCAAGCGAGCCUAGAUGAUCAGUGACAGCAUGCUGAUGUAGCCAAGCAUACGGCUCGAUGUGGGCCCUCAUACUACGAGUCGGGCUCCGAUUCUGCGAGCAGCAAGGCAAAUUCAAAGUUCAGAAGAACCUCUCCAAUUAGGGAGGCCAUCAGCAGAGGCAGUGGCCGUAUUGCAUUUAUGUUGGAGACUUUUAAUAGCAGAUUAAAGUCCUACAUGGAGAUUCCAUCAAAAGCCACCAUCUAUGAUUUAGAUCCACAUGCCUUCCCCAACAAAGAUUCGAAGCGGCAGAAGAUUGACACAAUGCUAAAAAAGAAUAAGGAUAUGUGGUGAGCUAUUGGAUCUUGAUUCCACUUCAGCCACAUAUUAACAAAUGUGGCAGACAAUACGUACUAGAGGUUUGCCAUUUUCUCCAUACGGGCAACCAGUCUCGAUGUAGAUCCUCGAGGACCGAAGAAAAUCGAAGUUGAACUUCUUGACAAUAAAAAGGAGCAAUAGAAGUGGAUUGCCUCAUACAAGAGCAAAUGGCCCACAUAUGAAUUGACAGUGAUAUGUGAUGGUUGAACCGGUCCUACCAGGUGGAGCAUUAUCAACUUCUUGACAUAUUGUGAUACAAAGACUUUCUUCCAUAAAUCGGUUGAUGCUUCUGAUCAGGUGCACAAUGCCAUGUAAAUCCUCAGAUUAAUGGAGGAGAUGAUUAAUCAGGUAGGAGAGAAAAAUGUCAUGCAGAUCAUCACUGAUAAUGGGCCACAAUAUAAGAUCGUUGGGGUGAUUUUGAUGGAGUGGAGGCCAUAUAUUUUCUGGACCCUAUGUGAUGCAUAUUGUAUUGACCUCAUGUUAAUGGACAUUGCAAAGAUUUAUAGGGUGCAGUAGACAGUGAAGACAACCCAAACCAUUACUAGAUAUGUUUAUAAGUUUAUAACCAUAUAUAGGUUCUAUUACUUAUGAAGAGGUAUGCAGAGAAGAAAUCUUGAGACCAAGUGUGGCACAGUUUGCUACCAACUACAAUAUAUUUGAUAGCCUUCUUGAGAGGAAAGCGGCCCUAUGUUAGAUGUUUGUCAAUCCCAAGUGGCAAAAAAUACAUUUGCGGGGGUCGACACUGAAAGAAGCAUUGUCGAGGACUUGAUGACCAAGGCAGACAUUCUGGCAAUAGGCCAAGAAGAUAGUGAAGGCUAUCAAACUAUUGAACGAAGUGCUUUGGGCCGUGGAAAGCGAGAGGUAUCCCUAGAUGGGCUUCUUGUAUCAAAUGAUGGAGAGGGCAAAAAUUCAGAUCAAGAAGACAGAUCCGACAUAUGCCCAGAAGUACAUCAACAUCAGAGUAGUAGUGGGACUACUAGAUGGGUAGAAACUUGUAUAUAGCAGAAAAGCAAGAACAUUAAAAAUUAGACUGCUCCUGUACUUGUACAAUUAUACUAAGACAAUUACGAACUCUAUCUACAGCAUACUAUCCGAACUUGAGAUUUUAGUACGAUGUGCCUGAAAUUGAUAUAGAUGACGAACUUCUGGCUGUACUGCGUAGUGUGAUUUACAAGAUGGAGUCUGAUCCAGAAGUCAUGGCCUUAUAUCUAGAAGAGGUAAGCUAACUUAAGUGACAUAUGUAAGUUAACUAAUAUCUUCAAUUAUUAACAUACUAUAAUACGUUUUUUUUAACAAACCAAAAUAUUUAAAAAGGGCACUAAUAGCUUUGGAGUCUUAACAGCUAUCAUAAGUAAGAAAAGUAUGAAUCCAGAUAUAUUACACGUCAACAAUAACUAUUAUCUGCAUUAGACUGUUACUAAUAUGAUACUAUCUUAUAUGUAAUUUGCUUCAAUAUUUUUGCAGUUGAAUGGUGGAUUCAUUUUCUUUGUCCGAGAAAAAUCUUAAGCAGCUAGCUAUUCGGAUUCUCUUCCAAACAGUCUCCUCGAGUGGCUGUGAGCACAAUUGGUCCACCUUUGCCCUCAUCCACAACAAGCAGAGGAAUCGUCUGACACAAAAGCACCUCAACGACCUUGUAUGUAUGUUCACUACAGUCUAAGAUUGAGGCUGGAAUGCAUUCAAGAGAAAGUAGAGCUAAAGUACACAGAUCUGAUCCAUAAUGCUUUAGUUGAGGAUGAGAUAAUCCCUAUGAUCGGAUGGCUUGUGAGUUAAUAGGAGGAGCCGGAGCUUGAUGAGCGAGCAUCGCCUCCACGACCGGCCAGGUUCAUAGCUAAGGAGGCUAGGAUUGAUGUAGAGCAAUGAGCAGAUCACAAUAUUCCACACAUCCUUCCAGUUGAUCAGCCAUAACCAUAAGGGUCACUGGGGAGCCGAUCAUCACAUGACUCCUUGUCCGAGACAUCCUCUUAGAAAUAUGAUCAAGAGAUAUCUAGACAAGGCCACCACACUAUCCGAUCGAUUCGAUCAGGAGGGCGACAUCCAUCUUUCCAACAUAGCCAAGUAGAGAGGAGCACGAAGGGUAAGCAAGCAGAAAGGGGCACAAAGGAUAAACAAACAGCUGCUCAGCAUACCAAAAAGAAAAAAAAAAGGCACCUACAGCCUCCAUGGAGAAUGUGGAGGACCUAGUUCACUCAGAUUCAGACUAAAAGUAGUAGCAACGGCAGUUCUAGUGGUCAUGGAUCUGUCUAGUUUACGCAUGCUACACAGAAUAAAGGGCACGGUGCACGAUCUGCAUAGACGGGCUCCUCGAGGUCAUUCAACAGAAUAUGAUGUGGCUGCAAAUGAUAUCGCACGUGGAGUAGGAUUUAUAGAUGUAUCAUAUUUUGAGUCAUAUGUUAGAUCCUAUUAUCUGCAGCCCAGGCAGCCUAUGAUCUAUAUAGAUACAGAUAUGGUGGUGCAUCUGAGGCAUCGUCUUCCGGUGGCUACUAUCUUAGCAUCCCAGAGCAUCUUACAGGUCUGAUUUUGCUAUCGGCAUAUUCGGAUGGGCCCCUCCAUAGUCAUAUAAUCAGCUAAAGGACACCUCUCAGAACCAGAGCUUCAGCGAAAGAUCCGAGAGUGCUUAUAAUUUAGAGCGUGUUUCUUAUGGGAUGAACAUAUAAGACUAUAAUGCUACUUGGUUAGAAGGAAGGGUUGAUGUGCCUCCUGACUAUACUAAUGAUCCGGAUAUUUAUGAAAAGCAUCGCCACUUGACGAGAGUUUAGAUCUCAGUAUAUAUAUAUUGUACUUUAAAUAUAUGUAAUUGAAUGUAUUAUUUUAUAUUUUUCACCUUACUAGUUGAUUUUAGGAUAUUUUAUGUGAAUUCUUAUAGCAUGCAAUAUCUCACUAAUCAUUUUAUAUUUUGUAUCACUUUAAACAACAAGAUGUAUCAUUUACAUAAUACUGAGAUCAUAAAAACAUCAAAAAACAUCAAAUUAUACUUAAAAUCCUUGAAAAGGUUGAAAAAAAUUGAUUACCAAUUAAUCAAACUUGAAAAACUUUAAAAAAAAGAGCAUGCCAUUUCGGAACCGGCACGUCCAAGCAUACCGUGUGUCAGUACGGUACCGUACAGACUCGCUCGCCGACCAGUACGAGUCCCGAUACCGGUUUGGAGGACCUUGGGAUAUACCAUUAAAGUUGUGAAUAGGAGUCAGAUGAUGUUGCUGAGCUAUGUCAGGCACCUUAUGAUGAUCCAAGUAGGAGUAUAUAAUUCAUGAUAAGACCAACAAACUCUAGUUCUGUAGAAUGCUUCUAGUUAAACAAUGGAAUGUCCAGUUUAUCCAUAAUUCCAUAUCAUUUCUUUGUACAACUCUAGAUGAUCUGAUAUGUAGUGAUGCCUUUCUCAAGUUCACUACAACCAUGUUGCAGAACCAACUUACAGACUGCACUGGGCUGUUUCCACUUGUUGACAGGGCAUUUAACUAACUUUUCUUUUUGUUGGCAAGGGAAGAAUCAUCUAAUCUCUGAAUCCAACAUGCAAGAAGAUAAGUUUAAUGUGUUAUAUGGAUAAAGUUGCAUGGAUUAAAGUCACAUUUUAAAAAAAAAGCAUCAAAAUGGAAAGAAUAAUACAGGAUAUUAUACGAUGUAAGAAGGAUAAGAAACCUAAUUUAAUUACAUACGAACAAUGAGCCCAGGAAUGAAAAUGUGCAGCUUUUGCAUAUAGGUCUUCACAAUAAGAUAUGAGCCAGCAAGCCCCAUAUGGAUAAAACCACCACAUUUCAGGAGAGAAGCUUAACAUAGGAAGGAGAAAUUCAUUUCACAAUUUAUGGAGCAAGUAUGACCUCUCAAAAUAAUUAAGAAUAGUUCCUGCAAUUGCUGUAAAAAAAUUACAGUUGAAAGAUAACUUAAUCUAAGUUAAGAAAGUGCAAAAAAGAACCUGCACAUUGGGAGGACUAAUCUUGAAUCAGCAAGCAAACAAGAAAUACCUCAAGAAUGAUAUCCUCCUUAGUUCUUCUCCAACCACUUGGUGUGAACCAUCUGAUUUACAAUAUAUCAAAAUUACUAGAACAUUAAAGAAGCGCAGAAGGCACAUUUUGCUAAUAUUCAAGAAACUAGACUGAACUAAGAAAAAAGGAAUGCUAGUUACUAACUUAUAUAUGUAAAUGUGGAUGUGUCUGCAUCUGUUCAUCUAUGUCUUAUGCACAUAUGUGUUACUGGGUCUAUAUGUAUGAUUCUGUCUCUAGCUACAUAAUUUUUUUUUUGAGGCAAACUCGUGCUUUACGUGUGUCUGCAUGUAUGCCUAUGUCUCUGCCUGCAUGGGCAUUUCCAUUCGUAUAUGUAUAUGCAUGUCAAGGGAUGAGAUUGCAAAAGAUGGUUGAAAAAUUAGGAGUUACAGACAGAUAGGAUAGUGCAUUUGGAAUGCUGAUAGAUAGGUUCCAAUUACAUAGGAUGUUAUGAGAGAGCAAGGGCUUCGAAGUUCUAAGAUAUCUAUGAUUAUGUUUAUUUUUCCAUUUGUCUUUUUAUGUACAAUUUCACAGGCAUAUUUGUGCCUUAAGUUUGUAUAUCAGUAAGCAUGCAUGUUUGUAUGCCUAUAUUGCAUGUAUGGGCAUUUCCCUAUGUAUAUGUAGAACAAUUAGAUAGUGGAGUGCAUCAAGAAGGCAGUUAGACACAUUUCAAGCAUUAGGAUAUUCUGAUAGCACGAUGAUUCAAAUUACAUACUCAAGAUGAUGGAUGUACCAUCCCGUCCUAGUCUUCAUCCAGUCUUAUGUUGUCCCGACACUUGGGAUGGUGCCCUGUCUUGCCAUCUAGGACAUGCCCCAUGCCAACACUUGGGACGAUGGGACAUCUUGUGAUAGCAUGAGAGCUAACAAGUUAUAGGGUAAGAAGAGGAGCCAAGAGACAUCAUCUUUGUAAAUUAAUGGUUUCAAAAGAGAGCAUUAUUACCUUCAUUUCCCGCUUCUUAACUCUGUUGGUUCUUUCUAAAGGUAAAGAUGUGAUUAAAGGAGUGAGGAGCCUGGGGGUGGACUUUUGCAGUCCUAAAAUCGUGCAAAACUUUCUUCACAAGGAUAUAAGCAUGAUGCUUUUUUACAUGCUUUCCUUUGUCAAGAUUGAAACACUGUGAAGGAGAAAAAACUUUCAUGUUUAGAAGGAUCUUAUGUGAUUGGAUUCACUGGAAAGGGGUAUGGCAAGAACUUGAGAACCUGAUAAGAAAUCUUCCCACAUAACCCAUUCACCAACCUAGAGAGAGAGAGAGAGAGAAUCUUGCCCCUUGUAGAAAAGAUUCCAUAUUUAUGGAUUUAAAAUAGUAUUUUUACUAGAAUUGGUAUCUGCGAGGUGAAAGAGAAUCCGUAUCUGAGUCAUUUGUCACUUUUUAAAAACAAUUUAAGUGACUAUAAAUGAGGAUUGGAAAAGAAGCAACAAAAUACAUUAAUGGAUCCAAGCAAUAAUUUCACCCAUCAUUUUCAUGAGGAACAAAAGAUGAAUCCAAUUACUGUCGUCACAUUGGUUCAAAAUCCUUCUAGCUUUGUGAUGGGCCUCAAUACUCUCAAUAGUUUAACCCACUGAUUCAAUGAAUUGAGAAAACUAAUUGGCCUACAACUCCAGCUCUCACUCCCAUUUUGAUAUUACUUUUUCUACUUUGGUGGCUCUAAACUCUAUGCUAAUCGGAGGGGUCAAAUAGGGGAAGCACAGUGACACUAGUAAUUUUAUGUACGGUUUAACUCUUGAAUGCAUCGUACAAGCACACGACAAUUCAUGUACUAACUGAAAUUGUUGAUAUUAGAAAGUUUUUCAGGUGCAUAGCUCCUUGGUCAAAGAAUUUCAUCCGGAAGGAUCAAGUCUGAUAAUGUAAAGUUGUUCUCAUGUGUUUGAAAUUCUUGGAAAAGAAGCCAAUUCUGCAACAUAGACAUGGUGGUAUAUAAAUGCUUGGUUCGCAUGUUCAUACCCACCUUAGCCUGUGUUCGGAAGCAGAAUAAGUUAAGCCAGAGUAAAUGGGUUAAUUUACUCCUACUCACUCCUACUCUUUACCAGGGUAUAAGGGUUAGGAAAAAAAGUUGCAUACCAACUUUUAAGAAAAACUUGUUUUGCCCUUCAAAAAAGUGGUUUAACCCAAGUGCUCUAAGUGCUUGGCUGCAGAAGGGUGGAAUAACUGGGUUAAAUGACUUUUACUCCCUCUUAUUCCACUUCCAUACACAGCCUCAAUGUGGUGUCAGCAAUUACUUGCAAUUGCAAGUAUAGAUUUAGACACUGAUGAGACAGUACAUGGUCAUUGGCACUUGAACAACAAUGGAGGAAGACAUAGGAUUAGCACAAGCCUCACAGGUACCUGUAGUAGCUCUAUGACAGUUGCGCAGUCCUUGCGAAAAUCGUUAGGCCUAAAGCACUUGGACAAGAUGUCACAAAUACAGGCAUUAAUUCAAGCCUCCUGUGUAGUUUUGAAAGCCUACAAGGCUCUAAAUGAAACCUAAUAGGCACUUCUGCAAGCCCAAAGGGUUAUUAAACAACUAUUUAAGGAUCUGUCACAGUUAUAUAAGCCUUUUUUACACACUGUGCAAACCUCAUGGGCACUUGAGCAACAGUACAAAUUGCAGAAUUACUCUUGCACAAUUGUACAAGCACCGAAGGCACCAGCUGACUUGCCACCCUAGUUAUAUUCGUUUGCUUGAUUUAGUUAGAAAAUGAUAGCAAAGUAACUUAGUUGUAUCCAAGCUAUACUAUACCGUACCGAAUUGGGCAGUACAGGGCGCAUUGUACCAUACUAGUUCGGUACCACUAUGUGGUACGGGAUUUGUACCAACACUCGGUAUGCCAAACCGGCCUCCAUACUGGAUGUACCGACACAGUAAUAAGAUGGCAUCAGUACGGAACCUAGUACCGAUACAACAUAUCUUGGUUGUAUCCAUAAUGCAGCAUAUAUGUUCUUGACAAGAUUCUCCUAGACUUUUAUUUCAUUCCUUAACAAGGCCUUUAUAGUUUAUAAGGGGUUGCAUUUGUUGAGUUUAUACGUAAACACAAAGUCUAGUGUGAUUUUUUGCUCAAGAUGUCAGUACUUGAAAAGCUAGCCCAUGUUUUGUGCAAUUAUACCCCUUGGUGUGGGUCAAGGUGUAAAUACUUGUAAGUUGUAACCAUACAAGCACUGGGUGCUGAAUUUUGUGCCAAUGCAACCUUAGGAUAAAGAGGCCUACUACGAAGCUUGAAGAUCAGGCCCAUAUUACCUAGUUGCCUUAUAUAGCUAACAGACUAUACCCCAAAAAAUUAAAGAACUCAAAAAAUUUAACUUUUGAUUAUGUUUCAUGAAUAUGCCUUGAAAACACAAUAAAACAGUUAUUCAUAAUCUUUCUUUCUUCUAUUAGAAGUUAGAACAGUAUCAGAUGUGCAAAAUGUCUGCUUAAAAUGGUUAUGAAGCGGCAGACCUAGCACUCCUAUGACUGGAAUUUGAAGUGUUUAAAUUGAAGGAACAUAAAGACAGUGAUCUACCUUUUCCAAAAUGGAAUAGGUUCACGAAGCUUAUAUGGCUCAUAGACGAAUCCUGGGCUCAGCAUGGUCACUUUCAAAGCCACCUACAUAUAUGGAAUCAUAAGGUUCAGUAACUAGCUUAAUUGCUUGUUUCUAGAAAAGUCAUAAGGAUUUCAGCCUUUUCAGCAUUUUCCAAUAAAAUAAAUUAAUCAAUUAACAUAUCAUAAAAGAUAAAAUGGCAAAUAAAGGAUAGGACAGCAGGAUAGAUAUGUAUUCCCUUCAUAGAGAUAAGUAAUGUAUAUUAGCUGACUUAGAAAAUGAUAGGUGCAAUACCUAUACCUGCAGAUAGAUAAUUUCACAAUUUAUUGUCAUGCAUUGCUAAGAUAUUUUUUAUCUAUCUGAAGCUUGUCAUAAGGCAAGAUAUAGAAUAACAAUUAUUCACAAUCUUCACAGAAUUAGGAAUUAUCCAAGUAACGCAGAUAAAUAAUAGCAAACUAGUCAUUACAGACAAGGGUGAUCUUUAGAUGUUCAAGAAAAAAGACACAAACAGACAAAUUGGAUGUAAGUGGGAGUUUCCAGGUAAGUGGCAGGUGAUGAAAUAAAAUAAUUCAUGAAAGAAUGUGUCGAUGUUUACAUUAAGAGGCCAACCGCGACAAAAACCAGGAAGGAAUAGACAGCCACAAAGGCAUAUUAUAUACAUUAUAUACACACCAUGAGCAUCUACUAAUAUUUCUUUUAAUAAAUAUAUAAAAAUAUUAUGUCUGAACGUGUAAUUAGUUCCCAGGAUUCAUGCUCAUAUGAUCCUGUGAAAUAAUUACAUGUCUAUACAUAGCCAGCUAGUUUGGUUAAGGCCUAGUUGAGUUAAGCUGCAUUGAGUUCAGUUAUACAUGUAAUUAUUGCUGAUUAAAAUCUAAUUACCUGAGAACAAUCUUAAAACAGAUCGAUGAAACUUCAUAGAGAAAAUUUUUCUUACUCAGAAAGUUUCCAUUUUUCUUCUUUUUGAUGAAAGUUUCCAUUUUUUCUUCCAAGAAAAAGGGCAUCGACAUCAACAAUUUAAAUUGCUUAAUUUUGGUAUAGUCUUAGAUGUCUUUGAAUAGAUAAAAUCAAAAAAUCAUGAUAUUUAAAUCACAUCCAAUUUGAAAUAUGAAUAGUCAAGUACCCUCCUCCCUCAGAUAGAGAGAGAGAGAGAGAGAGAGAGAGAGAGAGAGAGUNNNNNNNNNNNNNNNNNNNNGAGAGAGAGAGAGAGAGAGAGAGAGAUGGAGAAGGAAAUAAGAACACACACACUAAUAUCAAGAACACACGAUGCAUGUGGGAGGAAACAAGUGUGGUGUGAAUCCCUAUUUGUAUAAAGACCUCCAUUAUUUAUCCAACUUGACAACUAUGCCCCUACUUUUCGCUGGUCCACCUCCCUUGUUUCUUUCCCUUAAACAAAGACAAUGGAAUGUCAUAAAACAAUUUUGUUUACCCACUUGGUUUUACAUAUAAGAAAGGUUAUGACAUAGGGAUCCAAAAAAUAAUAAACAAGAAAUUUGUAGUUAUCGCUAAAUUGAUUAAAUCUGAUAUGAAUUGGCAGUGAUAAAAGGACUUUACUUUAGAAAGGAGUCAAAGUAUCAGGAAGCAGGUCUGGAUGUGGAUAUAUAAUUCAAAACCUAGUACAGCCCCCUAUGUAGAAAUUUUUGGCCAUUUAGUUUGUCCAAGUAUUAAUAAAAGGUAAACUUUCCUCGUAACAAGAAAACUCUUCCAUCCAAAAGAUUAGUAUGUAAAAAACUAUAAUAAUUCAAUCAGUCCUUGGAUCAAACUGAACAAACUAAACUACAUUACAAGCAAGGCCAUAAAUCCUGUAGGACAAGGUCAUCCCAAAUUUUCCGUGGAAUGGGAUAUGCCACUAUCACACCCCAUCCUGAUACUUGUGAUGUGCGAUGUCCAAGGAUGCACUGAUUGGGAUGUUGGGACGAUUUGCAAGACAGUCCUAUCCCGACACCUAGGAUAAUACCCCAUCCUAGCAUCCUAUGGAGUCCUACCAGGAUUUUGAAACCCUGAUUACAAGAACUUAUUGUGCCAUUUAAGUUAACUGGGAAGUUUGAGAACUUUUGACAAGUAGCUCUCAAACUUAUUUCAACUCAUUAUGAAUUGGUCUUGAAUACCCAGAGGGGAAUUUAAAAGAGAGACCCUUCAUGGAGGUUAAAUAUUCAAAUUGCUUCUAGAACCAGAAAAAAAAAUGUUUACAUAAACAUAGCAUAAAACCAAAAUUCCCACUCUCUUGUAAUAACAUGGAUGUUUUGUUAGAUUUUUGCAUCAAAGCCACUGCAAUUAGGAUAGAAGGAUUAAUAAUAGUAUCAUUAACUUCCUUAUUGUUAGAUUGUUAGGUAUAAGCCAGAAGUCUAAUAAGAAGAAAAAGAAGCUCGCUCUACCAUAAUGAAGGAUAAGUUCCAUCAUCAAACAGUAGCAACUUUGUCACCAAUUUAAAUUUAUAAUCUAAUAGCUCACAAUGAAAUGUUACGAUGUAAUGACAAGAAAGCCUAUUGUUUGAAGCAGACAACCAUGACAAGGACUAUAAUAAGUAACAAUGCAUUCAUGGACCACAGAUAUAUGAUGCUACGCGAAAUUUGAAAUAAUAGGGUGAAAAAGCAAUAAUAUGAUUGGCUUUUAUCACAAAAGAUAGCUCCAGUGAGGAUUGACAUAUACAAAGCAAAAGCAAUGAUAUGUGGAUAAAAUAGUGUGAUUUCUGUGCAACAUCAGGUGCAUCAAAAAUUCAGGAGUUCCUGUACAAGGUUACUCCAAGGAGGGUGAGCCAACAACUAAGAUUAGUCCAUGCCCAUUGUCAACAAUUAAUGGGUGAAGAUUCAUGUACUGUGUACUGUAACUACUGUUAAUUCUAAAUUACAAAAGGAUAGCAUAGAUUUGGUUAUAUAAGUUUCAAGACCUAACGCAACCUUCCUUUCAGAUGAGGUUGAAAGAUAGAUCUAGAUAAUAACAAAAAGAGAGUGACAUAAAUAUGCAUAAAGUCAAGGAGUACCCAAUGUAAUCUCAAAGGAGGCUAUACAACAAAGACCCCAGUUAAGGUGGAGAUCACAAUAAGGGGGCCAUCCUACUGGCUUUUCUGGUAUAUGUUCCAUGUUAAUGUGAAGGUCAAGUUAACUACAUUACUUUCCAUUAGUUGACUAUGAUUUAGACGCCAUACUUGUUGACUGCUAAUAUUUUUUGAAAGGAGUCUUUUGGGGAGUAAGCAAUCCACACUCCAAACCAAACAUCCCUUCUUCUAAACUCUGGUGCUCAAGCCAACACAAUGCAAUGGUGAAGAAACAAACAUGGGAAUCCAAUACCCACCUGUCGUGCUCCAGCUGGAGCUUUCAUAGUCGACAUCGGCCUAGUCCCAUUCGAAUAGACUGUUAAGUCAGAGACCUGGAAAGCGAGAAGACAAUCAGCAAAGAAAAGCAAGUUUCUCCCUUCAACAUUGCAAUAUAAUACUGAACACACAAGCACCUUUACCUUCAUAGAACAUAGCAUUAUGGAAUCUCUAGAAUUCCAACCAAGAAUGCCGCUAAUGUCGCAAGAGCUAGUCAUGAUGCUUCGACGACCAAAUUCUUGAAAAAAAAUUGCAUUUUUGAAAUAAAAUAACCAGAAAUGAACAAAAUAACUGAUAAUAUUUUAAUCUAUUUGCUAAAUAUCCAGAAUUACAGAAGAAAGAAAAACAUAUGAUGGUCGAAACAUUGAUUUUAAACUAACCUUCCGUGCCCGAAUUCAUGUAACUCGGAGAGCACCGAGAACUGAAGAAUUUAAAGGAAAAUUAGAAACAAGUUGUCAUGUUUAAGCAAUAGAUUGAGACGAAAAAGAGUGGUAAAAGACAAAUUUGAUUACAUGGAGGGAAGCAGCAGGCGUUGCGACGCCCCAUUGAAGCGCCGGAUCAAACUGAAUCGGGCGAGAGCCAUUGGGCCACUGCUUGCUGCAACGAAGAAGGGGCGAUCCGUCAACUGGUAGAGAUGAGAGGGGGUUUUAGGGUUCCUGAUAGGCGUACUAAAACCCUAGGGUUCCUGAUACGGAGAAGGGUUUAAGCGGAGGGAGGCGCAGGCUCGCAGGCAGUCUCUAUAGACGACGAUUAGAUUUAUGGAAACGCCCAUGCAAUUUUCCAAAUUUUCCGAUUCCAAAAUCCAAAUCCAAAACAUUUUCAUUUUUUCUAUUUUCAAAAAUAAAAGAAUAAUUUUCAUUUUAUUUUUUAUUUAAAAAAUUUAAAUAUGUUUGGCAUGUUUAAUAAUUUUUGCUGUGGUGCUCUCAAGGGUAAAAUCGUCAUUUACUCAAAAAACUCUGGCUGUCCGAUUCAACAUGGGUGGUCAUGAUCUGUUCAUCAGAAUCAUAGCCAAUCAUGUACAUGGUUAGCACGGUAAUUUUCAAGAACUGCAGGACGGUUUUCAUACUAAUAGAAGUGGCUGGUACGGUAAGGUUGAUCCAUGGAGGCAACUCGUCUCCCCCCUCCGUCCUCCCAUCAUGCUCCGAUGGAGGUCAAGUUCAUGCGAAGAAUUGUUUUGAUUGGUGGUAUUUAUGAAAAUUCAUUCAGACGUGUGUUUAGUUUUAUAUUGAUUAUUUGCUCAAUAAAUCUUAUAUACUUAUAUAAAAUUAAAAAAUUUUAAAAAUAUUUUUUGACUAGUUAUUUUGGAUAAGAUUCUUGCGAAGCAACUUUUUUGACAUUCAUUAAAAAGGUGAUUUUUUGGGCUUCAGGCCCAAGUGGGCCAUCAGAAAUAUCUAACCAUUUCUUAAAAAAAAUGUAAAAGAAAAUAAAUGUAAAGGCCAUUAUAUACCUAUGCCAUCUAGUGAUGCUUGCUCAAGCUCUCAAUGUCCCUUCUCUAUAAUGCCCAAUUGACAGUAGAAAUCUGUGAGAAUGUCUCAUAAGUCAUAACAGUGGAUCCUUAAAUUGGUUAUUUAAUAUGAUGAUUGCUCAAUUAGGAAAGUAGAAUACGUUCUAAUUAUGUUCUUGGUACUACCACGCAUUGUUGGAGUGGAGCAAAUCUCUUCCACAUUAGUAGUAUUUGUUAAACUCCAAAUCUCAGAGAAGUAGGUCAUUUAUGGAUUAGUAGCAGUUGGUUACAUGCAAUAUGAUAUUCCAUGUCAAUGGCUAGUAUUAAUUAAGUGAAACUGUGAUACCCAAUCUAGUUGAACCAUCUUCAUAGUAUGCUAGUGGAUAUGUAUGUGUGUGUGUGUGUGUGUUACAUUUGCAAGCUUUUCUUAUUGAACUCAGGAACACGAAACAGUAAGAUAAUCAAAGCAAUGUUAUGUGUUUCAAAUGCCACAUUUUCAAGUUCUAUAUCUACAAAGUUGCACGAGAGCACUAUGUUAUAAAAUAAAUUAAUCUUUGUUUGCGACCUAUGCAGGAGAUGAGUUCUGUUGAAAUUAUCACUUAUCCUAAAAACUUAAGCUAAUAAGAUGAGGUAGAUUUAUUUAUAUAUUUUAUAUUUUCUGACACUCCCCCUCAUAGUGGGCCGGACUUUUCUUAAUGGGCAAGCCCAACAUAUAAAAUUUUUUAAUAAUAGGGUUAAAGAGUAUGGAGACAGGGUUCGAACUCAGAACCUCUGCUCUGAUACCAAGUUGAAAUCACCACUUUUCCUAAAAGCUUAAGCUAAUAGGAUGAGGUAGAUUUAUUUAUAUAUUUUAUAUUUUCUAACAAGUUCCAUGUAAGAUAAUGGGUUCCAUGCAAGAUAUUGAUUUAGCAAUAGAUACAAGGUGCUCCCCGAGACGAUUGGCCAAUGUGAUUGAUAAUCUUAAUAGUGCACAAACAGAUGCGAUAGAAGAGAUAGGAUUUGGUUGCAUAUUACAUAUGCAAGUGAUCAAUCUCCAUUGAGUCCUUUUGAUUGGUUGUUGAAAAGAUGUGAUCCCAUUAAAAAGUUAAUCAGGAUCAACAAUGUAGAUAUCCCUAUUAUAGAAUGGGACUCAUGUUGUUUAAUAGGGUUAAAUGAUAAAAGGAGAGGUGUUGAAGAAGACCUUUUCAAACUUACCAAGUCAUCAGCAAAGGAGGAGAAUUCGCAUGAUCCUAGGGCUAUUUAGAAUAGUUCAAAUUCUUAUUGUAACUUCCUACUUAAAUNNNNNNNNNNNNNNNNNNNNNNNNNNNNNNNNNNNNNNNNNNNNNNNNNNNNNNNNNNNNNNNNNNNNNNNNNNNNNNNNNNNNNNNNNNNNNNNNNNNNNNNNNNNNNNNNNNNNNNNNNNNNNNNNNNNNNNNNNNNNNNNNNNNNNNNNNNNNNNNNNNNNNNNNNNNNNNNNNNNNNNNNNNNNNNGUUGAGUGAACCGGAGGGUUACAGUGGCCAUGCGCAAUAAAUGCCGGAGGGGCGUCAGGGUAUGGUCCUCGGCCGGACCUCAGAAGGGGCAUGGCCGUAGUAGGUGGUUGACAAGGGUAGACUUUGAUCAUCAGGAUUUUCCUAGGUCGGAGGUCUCGGGGUCGGAUGUCUUGAGGUCGGGCGCUCCGAGGUCGGACGCCGACUUCGGCUGUCCAGGGUCGGCGAUUGUGCGGCUUCUUGGGGGCAUUUGUGUCAUUGGGGGAAAAAAUCUUAUUCCCCCAAUCUGUUGCGGGGACGACGCUUUGGCCGGAGCCUCGCGCAACAGCAUAGCCCACAUUAAGCUAGCAGAGAAAGAGGACCACGUUCCUCACGAGGUAUUGUCCGCUUUGGGCGCUCCGGCCCGCGCGUCCAGCGCUGGACGGGGGGGAGACUGGUGCCCUCACGGGUUUGCCCUUCAAAAGGCGCCUCGAGAGGAAAGGGUUAUUGAGCCCCCCAUUUAUGGCACAGACCUUUCCGCUGAACGGUCGAUGUGGGACUAAAUUCGGGGAACCCCCCGUAACANNNNNNNNNNNNNNNNNNNNNNNNNNNNNNNNNNNNNNNNNNNNNNNNNNNNNNNNNNNNNNNNNNNNNNNNNNNNNNNNNNNNNNNNNNNNNNNNNNNNNNNNNNNNNNNNNNNNNNNNNNNNNNNNNNNNNNNNNNNNNNNNNNNNNNNNNNNNNNNNNNNNNNNNNNNNNNNNNNNNNNNNNNNNNNNNNNNNNNNNNNNNNNNNNNNNNNNNNNNNNNNNNNNNNNNNNNNNNNNNNNNNNNNNNNNNNNNNNNNNNNNNNNNNNNNNNNNNNNNNNNNNNNNNNNNNNNNNNNNNNNNNNNNNNNNNNNNNNNNNNNNNNNNNNNNNNNNNNNNNNNNNNNNNNNNNNNNNNNNNNNNNNNNNNNNNNNNNNNNNNNNNNNNNNNNNNNNNNNAUGUACGAGGCUGCGUGCUUUUGUGGGCGGUAGUCGGCAAUAGCACGGCCGUGUCACGGAUCCGGAUCCGGGGCGUGACACCUACAGGCUCAGCUACAUUAAACAAUCCAUCUCGCUCAUUUCUCCUUAACCAAAUCUUACUUGUCCCUAACAUUCAAAAAAAAUUGCUUUCUGUUAAAAAAAUUACUAAAGAUAACAAUGUCUUUUUCGAAUUUCAUGAUACCUGCUUCCUAAUAAAGGAUUACUUGGGGAGCAUCCAGUAUAGAGGCCACCUCAAAGUCAGUCUGUAUUGCUUUUCCCAACCUUUCAAGCAGUUUUCACCAUCAUCUUUUAUUGAUGCUUGUAUAUCCACUUCAGAUUAGCAUCGCAGACUUGGCCAUGCUUCUUUUCCUGUAGUACAAUAUGUUUUGUCUGCUAAUAAAACGCUAGUUGCUGCGAAUAAAGGACAAGUUGUUUGUCCAGACUAUCAAAUGGCAAAAAACCACAAUUUACCUUUUCAGGCCUCUCGAAUUGCCCUACUCAGAUGUCUAGGGGCCUUCAGUCGUUUUAUCUACAUAUGGAUCAAAAUAUUACGUAUGUUUUCUAGGUGAUUAUACGAAGUUUAUUUGGUUAUUUCCCAUGAAACAAAAAUAUAAAGUUGAGUCUAUUUUAAUAUAGAAGAGGUGGGUUCAGUAGAAAGGCGUCAUCGCCAAAUUGUUGAAAUGGGCUUUGCUUUCCUUACGCAUUCCAAUCUUCCAAAUUCAUUUUGGAAAGAAACUUUUCUUACUGCAACCUAUAUUAUCAAUAGACUUCUAACCAAAAUUUUAAACCACAAAUCAUCUUUUGAAAUGGCUAUUAAAAAGAAACCAAAUUAUGAUGCAUGUGUUUGGAUGUGCCUGCUGGAAAAACUUACUUUUUGAAAUUCAGUCCCAACCAAUUAGCUAGUUAUCAAUUUCAAAAUAAGCCCGUCUCCAUAAUGUAGCAACCCUAAAAGCCUGUUUGGAUAUUCAUGCUAGAUUGAGCCGAAAAUCUUAUAAAAUUCGUAAAUUGGGCUAUCUAUUUAAACAUGACCCCAUAUCAUCCAAAUAUCAUCUAACCUAAAUUUCAUGGGAUAUUUUUUUUUUAAACACUUGAAAAGUAUAAGAUGGAUGGGUCAAUAUGCUUAAUUUCUAUAGCACUUUUAGUAUAAUCUAAUAAAAAUAUCCAAAUAGGCUCUAAAAAAAAUUCAAUUCUACGUGGAGUCUAAGGAUUUUAGUUUGAUUAUCUAGUUAAUGUUGGAAUGGGCUGGGAGAGAUCGAAUUAACGAGCCUGCUAUUUUUUAAUACUGAAAAUUCUAUUCCAAUCUCACGGAUCUAGCGGGAUUAUCCAACGUCUUUAAGAUCUGCGUGGAUAUUCACGUAGGAUCCUGCUUGAAUCAAUCCAUUAGCGUGCCACGCCCCCGAGUUCCAACUUGCAAUAACAGACUGGAUUUGGGCCAUAUCAAGCACGAUACUAUCGAGCCCGCAAUCCGCGUCGGUGGGGGAAAAAAAAAACAACCCAGAGGCGCGCUCUCUCUCUCCAAAUCCCACGCCCCACACUUGCAUACCAGGUUGAGGUCACAAAAAUAGUCUCUAUAGCCGUCCCUUUGAAGUCGCCGAAGACCGAACAGAAGCAUCCUAUCGCAACUACCGACCAUCGAUCUCUCUCUUCCUCACUUCCCUAUCGCUCUUCCUCCUCUUGGAGGCCUAACCCUAGCCCUAAUUCUCGCCAUGGAUUUCUUCAAAUCCGUCUUCGCCGCUGAUUCCGAUCCCGAUCCCGAUCCCGAUCCGGAUCCCAAUCCCUCUCUCGCCGACUCCCCCCGGCAGCAGCAAUCCCCGCCGGACGACGAGGAAGAACGGGGAGAAGAAGCGCAAACCGCUGGCGGCGGCGGCGGCGGCGGCGGAGCGUGGAGCUUCGGGGGUCUGAUUAAGACAAUCGCCUCGAAGAAGGAGUUUGGCUCCUUGAUCGAGACCUACCGCCGGGACCUGGAGGAGUUCGGCACCGGCCUCAAGAAGGAGACGGUGGCGAUCCGGGAGGCCGCUACCCGCGCCGUGCAGAACCUCCCGGGAUCCCUGGAGACUGGAGCCUCCGUCGCCCAGGAGUCCCUCGAGUCCGUCGGCCAGGCCAUCGACGACUUCGGCGGCUCCGUCUGGCGAGGCACCGCCGAGAUCAUCACCCACAGCAAAGAAGCCAUCCUCGCCAUGGAAUCCGACCCCAAUUCCCCCGAUCCCUCCUCCAUUGACGCCGGGACGCAGAAUCUGGCCGGUUCUUCGAGGAGGUAUAGCCGGUUUGAUGCGCAGGUCCUCGCCAUCCAGUCCGAUCCGAGCACGUUCUCGGAGGAGCCGGAGGAUGCUGAGGAUUUCAAGAAGUGGAGAUCAGGGUUCCAAUUGGCGGAAAAGGAGGAGGAGAUCGAGAAUUUGUGCUAUGAAAAUGGGGCUCUGGAGGGAUUUCUUGAAAAGUUCGUGCCUUCUGUUAUGGAUUAUGAUACCUUCUGGAGUCGGUACUACUAUAGGGUUCGUAAGCUCAAGCAGGCAGAGGAUGCCAGGGCGAAACUCGUCAAGAGGGUGAUUUCAAGAGAAGAGGAUGAGGAGGAUUUGAGCUGGGAGGUCGAUGAUGAUGAGGAAGAAGAAGAAAAGAAGGAAGCAAAUAAAGAAGAAAAGAAGGAAGAAAAGAAAGAGGAAAAAUAGGAGAGCCUGAAGAAAAAGUUGUUAAGGUAGAAAGAAACAAAGAUGAAGAAGAAAAAGUAACAAAGAAAGAAGACACUACCGCCACCUCUCAAUCGCUAGAGGAGAAGAAUCAUCACGAUGAGAUCUUGGGAGUAUCAGUGGCGAUGGCUGAGAAGGAGGUGCCAUCAACUGCAGAGAAGGAAGAAAUUGUGGGAUUGAACAGUGAGGGAUUGGCAUCCAAGGCAGAUGAUAACACAGUGGCUGAAGCGAAGACAGAGAGUGGAGGUUCAUGCAAAGAUAGCGAUGUGUCAGUGGUGUCAAGGCCUUCUAUGCCAGAAGAAGAUGAUCUUGGGUGGGAUGAGAUCGAAGAUCUCGGGGAGCACGAUGAUAAGAAAAUUAGUAAUUCGAGUGGGAGUCCUCUUAAGGUGGAUCUACGCAAGAGACUGAGUGCUGCUGAAGAUGAUGAGGACCUGAGUUGGGAUAUAGAAGAUGAUGUUGAGCCUGCCAGGCCUUGAUUUACGGGUACAAUAAUGUUGGUCUCAAAUUUAUUAUAUUCCUUUAUGCUUUUGGGUUUCUAGCGCAAAUGUGCAGCUGCACUGCCAAUAAAGAUUGCAUUGAUCAUGCUGUUCAUUUUAGUGUGAAUAUUUAUUUCUAUAUGUUGAUACUUUCAAGUUCCAAGGUAGUUUGUUGUUCUUUGUUCACUCUUCUCGUGGUGUACUUUUUUAUGAUGAUGUUUAGAUAAGCAUUAUCUAUUAGUGGGUGUUUUCUUGCAACUUAACUAUAACUUGUGGGAUGAGUCUGUUGAAAAGAAAAUUCUAUAUUUACUUUCUUUAGUUAUGAUGCUUCUUAGAUUCCUACUGCUAAAAUUAUUGGAUGAACUUCAAGCCUAUCUUUCCUUUAUCUGUCCAAUGUUGACAUGUGAUGUCUAUUGCAAGUGAAUUUCCUGUUAAUAUUCUUGUACCCUUGAAUUUUGUGACCUCAUUCUUUCUUAUUUGUUAUAGGUUAUACUGGAUCCCACCAAAGAACAUUUCAUGCACAUGUUUAAAUACCAUAAGAGUAACCAAGCUAUUUUGGUAUGCAUCAAAGCAUUGGUAAUGCACAUCAUUUGAUAUUGGCUACAAAAAGAUAUUAAUGAUCUUCUGUUCAACGAAGUUUUUGAUUGAAUAAUUACUCCAAGAUAAAAAAUGCCUGCCUUUUCCAAUUUGACAUACAACUGUGUUUUGACAUUCAUAUUUCACUGAGCCUUAAUCUAGUUUUCCUAUCCGAGAAGUUGCUUUUAACAAAUGAAAUUGACGCAGACCGUACUAUAGCAGCAGCAACAUUUUUGUCACUGCCUAACUGGGCAUACAAAAUAUUGAAAGAUAGAGUAACCUAUGCCAGUUGUCGUGGCUAUAUGCUAGUAACAAUUAGUUUGAUUGCAUUAUAGAAGUUAAAGAAAGUAUAGGUCAAGGUUCAUAAAUCGGUACUGGGUGCCAUAUUGAUCACCAAUUCGAUAGUGUAUCAACACUUGGAAUGCUAUGGCAUCAGUUCCAUACCAAUACAAAAUCUUUUUUUUGGUUAAUUUGUUUUUUAUUUUUUAGUCUUGAUGGAUUGCUCCAAUGAUUGUAGUUGUUUGAAUUACGAUUAUGAUUCUAUUUUGAUCGUUUAUGUCAUAUUGGUCUCGUAUACGAUAUGAUCGAUUAGUGAAUGUAAUUGUAAUAUAAUUAAAUGCAUGAAUACAUAUAAUUGAAUAUAAAUAUAUCAAAUGGAUUUGAAGUACAAAAAAUGUAGCAACAUCUAGUUUCUCGUGGUAUCUAUGUUACUUGUAGAUGUCAGGAUCCUGGUUAUAGUAUGGGCCUAGUAUCUGACUCCAACUCAGAUAAUCUACCCACCUUGCUUUUUACAAUUUGAGCCUCCCGGAUAGCUACCCCAUCUAGGGAAGUUUGAGGUAGCAAAAUCCCACUUGCAAUUUGGUGAAGAUUGCGGAGGGCAAUGCCUGCCGAACUAGGCUGAGCCGCCCAGUUCGGCCUGUACCGAGCCAACUUGACGUGUGACUGGGUUGGUUCGUCUGUGGGGUUUGAAACCGAACUUGAAUUGGUCUUGAAUCGACAGGUUCCGCGCGGAUAAGGUGGCGAGGCAUAUGACUCGCUGUGGACUCUUAUGCUGCAAGUUGGGCUCUAAUCUAUGACAAGUAGGGUAGAUCCAAAGUUCAGAAAUAUCCCUUAGUUAGAGAGGUUGUCGAUAGAGACGGUGGUCGUAUUGCAUUUAUGCUAGGAGCUUUUAGUAGCAGAAAGAAAUCCUUCCGGAAGAUUUCAUAAAGAGCAACCAUCCAUGAUUUAGAUCCACAUAUCUUUCCCAACAAGAAUUCGAAACAGCAGAAGAUUGACAUCAUGCUAAAGAAGGAUAUAUGUGGCGAGCUAUUGGAUCUUGGUUUUACUUCAGCCAUGUUCCUUCAAAUGUGGUAAACAACACGUACUAUAGGUUUGUCAUUUUCUCAAUACAGGCUGCCGAUCUUGGUGUAGAUCCUCCAAGACUGAAGCACAUCCAUGGUGAGCUUCUUGACAACAAGGAGGAGUUAGAGAAGUGGAUUGCCUCAUUCAAGAGCAAGUGGCUUACAUAUAGACUCUAACGGUGAUGUGUGAUGGUUGAACCAGUCCUAUCAGAUGGAGCACAUCAACUUCUUGAUAUACUAUGAUACAAAGAUUUUAUUCUAGAAGUCGGUUGAUGCUUUCGAUCAGAUGCAAGAUGCCAUGUAUAUUCUCAAAUUGAUGGAGGAGGUGAUUGAUCAGGUAGGAGAGGAGAAUGUUAUACAGGUCAUCAGUGAUAAUAGACCACAAAGGAAGGCUACCAGGGAGAUCUUGAUAGAGCGGUGGCCAUUUAUUUUUUGGAUCUCAUGUGCUGCGCAUUGUAUCAACUUCAUGUAGAUGGAUAUUGUAAAGAUUUAUGGGAUGCAGUAGACAAUGGAGACAACCCAAACUAUCAUCAGAUAUAUUUAUAACUAUACAUGGAUUCUAUCACUAAUGCGAAGGUAUGCAGGGGAAGAGAUCUUGAGAUCAGGUGUGAUACAGUUUGUUACUAACUACGUUGCAUUAGAUAGCCUCCUUGAGAGGAAAGCAAUUUUACGUCAGAUGUUUGUCAAUGUCGAGAGGCAGAAAAGUAGAUUUGCAAGGGCCGGCACUGAGGGGGAGCAUUGAGGAGAACUUGGUGACGAGGCAGACAUUCUAAUAGCGGGCUGAGAAGAUAGUGAAGGCUAUCAAGUCAUUGUACGAAGUAUUUCGGGCCAUGGACAGUAAGAGGUACCCCAAAUGUGCUUCUUGUAGCAUAUGAUGAAGAGGGCGAAAAAUUAGAUCUAGGAGGUAGUUUUGAUGCAUGCUCAAGAGUACAUCAACAUCAUUGAGCGGCGGUGGAUUUACCAGAUAGGUUGGGACUUGCAUCUAAUAGGUAAGCAAAAAUAUUGACAAUUAGACUGCGCCUAUACUUGUCCAAUUUCACUAAAACAAUUACGAACUCCAUCUGCAGGUUACUAUCUGAACUUGAAUUUUCAGCACACCAUAUCUGGAAUCAAUAUGGAUGACGAAUUUUUGACCGCUCUGCGUGAUGUGAUUUACAAAAUGGAGUCUAAUCCAGAAGUAGCAGCCUUGUCUAGAAGAUAUAAGUUAACUUAAGCGACAUGUGUCAGUUAACUUGUAUCUUCAAUGAUUAGCAUCUUACAACAUGGUUCUUUUUUAUAGAUGAAAAUUUUUAGGGAGGGCACUGACAGCUUUGGAGUCUCGGUGGCUGUUGUAAGUUAGAAAAGUAUGAAUCCAGGUAUAUUACAUAUCAAUGAUAACUAUUACUUGACAUUAGAUUACUACUAAUAUGAUACUAUCUUAUAUGUAUUUUUUUUUAAUAUUUUUGCAGCUGAAUGGUAGAUUCACUUAAGUUUGUCCGUGAGAAAUCUUAAGCAGCUAGCUAUCUGGAUCCUCUCUUAAAUAAUCUCUUCCAGUGGCUGUGAGCACAACUAAUCCACAUUCGCUCUCAUCCAUAGCAAGCAGAAAAAUCGUCUGACACAAGAGCACCUCAACGACUUGUAUAUGCGUUCAUUACAAUCUGAGGUUGAAGCAGAAGUGCAUUCAGAAGGCAGUGAAGCUAAACUACAUGGAGCUAAUCCACAAUGCUUUCGUUGACGAUGAGGAUGAUCCUAUGAUGGCUUGUGGGCAAGUAGCAGAAGCUGGAGCUUGAUGAGUCGAGAUCACCUCCAUGACCGACCAAUUCGUAGCCAAUGAGGCUAGGAUGGAUGCAGGGCAAUAGCCAUAGGGGUCAUUGGGGAGCCGGUCAUCACAUGACUCCUUAUCCGAGUCAUCAUCUUAGAGAUAUGAUCGAGAGUUGUUUAGGUGAGGCCACCAUGCUAUUCGAUCGAUUGAGGGCGAUAUCCAUUCUCUCAACUUAAUAAGGCAGAGAAGGGCACAAAGGGUAAGUUGACCCGACCUGAAUUUUAGGACCCGCGGGGACGGGCUGGGUCCUAAAUUUGGACCCGUUCUAUUUUUCGGGUCGGGUUGGGUCGGGUCCACCCAAUCUCGACCUGGACCCGGACCUAAACCCGACCCGAUCCGACCUAUUUUUUUUGCUUGAUGUUAUUUACUAUUAUAUAGUGAAACUUUGAAUAUAAAAAUACAUAGACCCAGACCCGGACUCGAUCCGGAUCCGACCCGACCUGAAUGACCUGUCGGGUCAAAAUUUGUAGGCAUGGACCCGACUCGGUUUUCAACCGGGUCGGUCUGGGUCCAAAAUUAGGACCCGAACAAGAAACUGGGUCAGAUCGGGAUCACUCAGGAUCCGACCCGAUUCGACCCAUUUGCAGCCCUAAGGGUAAGUAGGCAGCUGCCCAGCGCAACAAAAAAGAAAAAAAGACACUUGCAGCCCCAAUAGGGAGUGUAUAGGAGUCGGUUCACUCAGAUACAGAGACUAGGAAGAGCCAGAACAUUCUGGUGGUCAUGCAUCUAUUGGCCAGAGAAAGUGGAGGAUAUGAAACCAUCGUUUAUGAGACAGCCGCAGGACGGUCUUCGAUUCAUUAGUGAGUUUUAGUUUACGCAUACUAUAUAGGAUAGGAGUACACGAUCUGAUAGAGUUCACAAGGAUACAAUUGCAUAUAGGUGAUGAACUCCUCGAGGUCAUUUAGGACAUGAUGCAGUUGCAGAUGAUCUCACUCGUGGAGUAGAAUUUUUAGAUGUAUCAGUUUUCGAGUCAUAUACUGGAUUCUAUUACCCACGGCCAUAGGCGACCUAUGACCCAUACAAAUAUGGAUAUGGAUAUGGUGGAUCUGAGGCAUCGUCUUCCGGUGGCUACUGCCUACGUAGCCUGAUAAAUUUUAUGAGUCGGAUUUUGCUGCUCGUAUAUUUGGAUGGGCCUCACUAUAGCCAUGUUAUCAGUGGACACCUCUCAGAACCAGAGCUUCAGCGAGAUAUGAGAAUAGUUACAACUCGAAGUGCGUUCCUUAUGGGAUGAGUGUAUAGGACUUAAAUGUUGUUUGGUUAGAAGGGUGGGCUGAUGUGCUUUUGAUGAUGCUAAUGAUGCAGAUAUCUACGAGAGACAUCGCCACUCGACGAGAUUUUAGAUAUCAGUAUGUAUGUUGUACUUUAAAUAUAUUUAAUUGAUUGUAUGAUUGUAUAUUAGUAUGUAUGUUGUACUUUAAAUAUAUGUAAUUGAUUGUAUGAUUGUAUCAUUUUAUAUUUUGUAUCUUGCUAAUUGAUUUUAGGAUAUUUCAUAUUGCUUCUUGUAGCAUGCAGUAUUUUACUAAUUAUUGUAUAUUUUGUAUCACUUUAAAACGACAAGAUGCAUCAUUUAGGUUAUGUCGGAAUCAUAGAAAUAUCAAAAAACAUCAAGAAAUAUCAAAUUAUACUUAAAAUCAUUGAAAAAGUUGAAAAGAAAUUGAUUACCAAUAAAUGAAAACUAAAAAGCUUUAAAAAAAAAUUGGCUGAACUAGCACGCCUCUGCGUACCAUAUUUUCGGUACCGUACCAAAUCAGCCAUCGACUGGUACAGGUCCCGGUACCGGCUCGGCAGGCCUUGGAUAGAAUGGUUUGAUCUUAUCUAAACCGAACUGGCAUAUGCGCUCUAUGUACCGUGUUUUGGUACGGUACCAAAUCGACUGCCGACUGGUAUGGGUCUCAGUAUUGGUUCGGUGGACCUUGGACAGAAUGGUUUGAUCUCAUCUAAAGGUUUUUUUGUUUUUUUGUUUUUUGCUUCUGAUCUAGUUCUCGAGGUUCAAACUAGUAACAUCUUAAACUUCUUCAGAAUUGUUUUAUAGUGGGUGUGUUGUUGUAGUCAAGAUUGGCAUAUUAACUUUGCAUGGAUAAUAGCAAAAUUUUGAUGGACAUUGCAUAUCAGAUAAAGAUGCAGUUUAGAUCCUUUAUGAAGUGGAAACUUAAUUUUCACUUUGGCUCAGCUACCAUACACGGUGAACUUCAAGAUCCUGUUGAUGUGUUAUAUCAUCCAUGCUUUCAGUGCACACAAGGGAUGUAAGAAUCUCAAAGUCUACUAGGUAUGGCCCAAUAGAGGACAUAAACAGCACUGAUUGGACAAAUCAGCAGAACUUGUAGUGCUCUCCUUUUGAUCUUUAAGAUUUGAAUUAUUAUGCUUGUAGUCUAUGCAAGAGAAUAAAUUUAUGCUGAUUUUAAGCAUAGAGCUGCAUCUAUGCUCAAAUUUGCUGUGCCCAGACAAUCUGGCCCACCCCUGAUCUCCCCCACCCCAACCUUAAAAAAGAUUAAAAAAAUAAAAACACAGGCGCAUUAUUUGAGCACGAGGGUUAUGGAGGGGAGUUUGUGGAAAUUUCUAGCUAUGACUUAAAGGAUCAUGGUAAUUUUAUAUUUUUGAUCAACAUGAAUGCUUUAUGUUGGCAAAUUGGUGUAUAUUAAUGUAGUAGAUAUGGUCCAAUGCAAACAAUAUUUACCAGAUAGAGAAAAUAAAUUUAAUAGCUAAUAGAAUAGAGAUGAGUUAUGGAUGACAUUAUGUGCAAGAACUAAGAACCCCCAAUAAUUAUCAUGAAUAUUAGUCACAGUUCCCUGGUUCUGUUUGAAUCAAUUAAAAUUUACCUUAAUGAACCAAGGUUCGUCCCAGUGGUCCUACAGGUCCUAGGUCGAAUCUUGGUUGGUGCAUCCUCAAGCAUUGGCACUUGGAUAAUUCUAGUGCAGGCGGAUCAUCCUUCAUUUCUCUCAAAAUAAAAUAAGAUAAAAUAAAGUAAAAUAAAAUGCAUCUACUGGAUGAGGACUUUCGGUCAAAAAAUCAGAACACAUUAAACUUGCAUCUUUUGAUCUCCACUUUCAGUUCAAUUCCAAAAGGGGAAAAAGUACUCAUCUCACUAAAUGCUGCUUCCUUUUUCUUUUAUGGAACCAAAAUACUUGCGUGCUUGUCUUCUGAGAUGAGGGCUACAAAGUGUACUACUGGUUUCGAGAAUAACGACAUAUAUAGAUGAAAGUUGAUGAGUAUUAGGAGCACCUAUAUGCGUUUUUAAUUAUGGUUUACACCAUGUGUUGGUCUAGGUUUUUAUCUUUGUAUGUGAUGGAGUAACGAAAUGAAUGAUUGCUCAUAUUCAAAAUGAGGUAUUGCAAUGUCCUGUAUUUGCAAAUGAUAAAAUGCUAGUGAAUGGGACGAUCAGAGUAAUUGCUAAAGCAGUGAUUUCAACAGAAAGCUGUGUAGCAUGAAAUGAAAUAGCAUAUGUUAUAAAUAAAAAUAAUUUUAACAGCGACAAAACAUAAAGACAGGCCCUAGAUUUGUUGAUAUGCAGGUAUUAUAUCUGUUAUACAGAUGGAGUUUGUAGAAGAAGAGAGAAUCUUUGAUGCUUUCAUUCAAUAACCACCUGCUUAAGGCACAGCCUGUUUUAUAGUGCAGCAGUUUAUGCUCUAUAACACGGUUCUCAUCCUCAUUGACAUAAACUAGUGACUUGUAUAUUUACAAUGAAUUAUUGGCAAUGGAAAAAAAUUUGUCACUUCAUGGUAAUUAUAUUAGAUGCCAUGGUUGUCAAAUUUAUUUUUGUUUCAGAAGGAGUUGCAAUUUGUGUACAUGAAAGACUAUAAAUAGUUGGUGAAAACUAGAGAGGCUUGUUACUCAUAAACUUCUUGACCCAACAGUAGCUCAGAUUUGCAUCUCUUAUUAUUUUCCACUGGAAUACCCGCUUAAAAAUUCAGUUGCUUAUGUUCAGGUAGCUAGUUUUGCCAGUUAAUCUGCAGGGUUAUUUGCUUCUGCAAACAUGUGAUUAUGCGAAGCACAAAACUUACCCUACUGGAGGAAAUAAUAUUUGUUGGAAUCUCUUUCUAACAGUCAAUCAAUCAUAGCUCUAUGAUUACAAUUUCAAUUGCUUGUGCUCCCUUCCCCCGCCCUCCACAUAUCAGACUGAGUGCUCCGGACAUAAAAAAGCUCCUUUGCCUUGAAUCCGAGAGAGCUAGCGGCUGCGGUUGGUAUGGCUAGAAUUGACAUCUUAAAUGCCCGUAGCACCAAGAGUAGCACGUUAAAGUUUUACAGUGUGCUUCGUAGGAGUCUAACCCAGAAAAUCUGGGGCAGACUCGCAGGAAUUGCCCAUUUGCUUAUUCAAUUCCGGCUUGGUGGAAUUAUCUUGGAGCUAGGGAUGUCUCUAACUUGUUUGAAGCAUGGUGGCAAAGUGUGUUCUUGGGUUUUGUUGGCUAUAAAGAAUCUCGAGAUUACGAAAUUCUGAAUUCUUUCUCUGGUUUUAUAUAGGACUUUCUCAAAUUAAAAUUAUUGCGGAUGCUACGGCCGCAAAGUUGAAGCAAAAUGAAUUUGAUAAAAAUUCUAUCCCUAUAAUUUUGUAAAGCAGCUAUAAGUCUACAUUGGUUGUAAUUCUAUUUUUCAUCACAUUAUGCCACUAAUAUGAUAAAGAAGCUAUAAUCUACUUGAUUGUAAUAGAAUUUUGUACGUGGAAAAUCUGAAAGAAAUUUUGGGAUAUAUAAAAAAAUAAAAAUUAGAUGGAUUUGUUCUGGUUGGAAGUGCUUGGUUUAGAUAAUGACAUUAUCGCUUUGCUCUGUACGACAAGCCCACAAAAUUACAAAGGGUCAAACAUGAAGCAAAGGCUUUUCAUUUCAGUCCUAAACAUGAUAACUGAAGAAAUUCAGCUCCAGAGAUGAUAAAUUUUCAUGGCAAACCAACAUUUAGUCGAGACUAAGGUUAUCUGAUUUACAGUUCAAUUUCUGACGAGCAAAGGACUACACCACCAAGGUCAUUUUUUAUGCUUCCCUUCUCCUUUUUAAGAGGGUGGGUUUUAUAGGAUUGUAAAAUAGAACAUACUCUUUCCGAAGGCAAAGAAAACCAUGCGAGGUCAAAAUUCUUUACGGCACCCUACCAGCCCCAAAUUGGCUGUUCUUUUCCAUAAACAUAACCAUCAAGCCUUGUUGCAGCUUCUUGGUUUUUGUGUUACAAAUGUUUUUCAGGCAGCCACUCAGUGCUAGCCAUAGGCCAGGAUGCUAAAGCUGGAGAGCUCCUUGCUUAGUUGACAACCGAUGGCAAGAUGUAGUUGAAAUUGUGAAGUCAAAAUUCUUCAUUCAUUCACUGCUAUAAUAUAGGUAAGAAAAAGUCUAGCCUAGAAACGGAAGAAGGUAAAUAAACCCCCACUUGCAUUAUCUUUUACAAAAACUGAUCUGUGGUAGAAAUCUUCACUAUAAGUUCAUAGUUUCUAGUGCUCUUUUAGUCUAGUCUGAUUCAGCCCGGUGCAUGAGACUAAUUUGUAACUACAGCAUCUUUUCAGGUAUUCCGUGCAUAAAAACUGAUAUUUUUCUUCGUAAAAUCUCAAUUCAAACUAAAAAUCCACCACACUGCGUUUGACAUUAAGAGCUCCUGAAUCAAUGAACUGAGAGAAGUGAGAUAGAUAUGUGGUAUAUGCUGAAUAAAACUAGACGGAAAUAUUACAAAAUUUUGUCCUUCACUGGAGGGAUCUCAAGUCCCCCAGCUGAUUUUUCCUAAACUCUACCUACCAUGGCAGUCAACCAUCCAUCUAAAAGAAGCCACCUACGCUAAAGAACUGCUGUAACAACAACGCCGUCUUCAUAAGUUGCUGAUAGCCAUAACUUAACAAACUCCCAUGACAAAGAAGUUCCCGUGAAGACACUUGGAAAAUGUUGAUCCCUGUAAUCUUUUUGUUAUGAUGCCCUGAGUAAGGAAAAUACUUCGAGAAUGGGAGAGACAAGACCUUCAUCACUCUACUCUAGCUCGACACACAGGAGUGACACCGACAUCAGAAACUAGGGGCCUCAACUACACUUGUGCCUCUAGCGGGGGCGGCAACGAGGGGAGCCUUCUCUUCUGAAUACGAGGUGGGAGAUGCUUGGUGUAUUUCUUGGGUCCCACUGUCCAUGGUAAGAAUACACCGGUGCCGCUGCGUGACACUCUCCUACCAGGACUCAUGACCAUGGGACGGGGCGGCGCCAGCAUGACGACAGGAGCACGGAGGGUCACUCCCCAUGUGGCUGGAAUCACACUGUGAGGCCCAUAGGUAAUGACUUCACCACCACCACCCUGCACCUUUUGUGCCGGUGGAGUUCCAGGUUGCCAGAGGGUGAGAGCUUUAGUUAGCGGAGCCAUGGUAGAGGAAUCGGUUUGGCUGUCGGCAGGUCGAACCUUCACAAAAGUGAUGCUCACCCUUCUGCCUGGGGAUUGGCAAAUGACAUGCCUGGCCAUAUCUGCGCUGUUCCCACGCAUGACUAAUAGAGACCUGCAAAUUAGUUAGUUGCAUUAUUAGUCAUGUUAAGUGCAAGUUGUAAACCGAUCGGCAUUGCUGAUUCUUAUGGCAAGCCACUAUGUUGUAUAUCAGAAUCAAAUAGUCAAUGAAUCUUAUAGCCUAAUAUUGAAACUAUUAUAAUAAGCCUGCAUAAAUUUAGAUCUUAUAAGAUCAUGACAUAAUAGAGAGGAAGAACAAAAAUGUAAAUGGUAUCAGUAAGAGGUUCGAUUUAACACAACAUACCCUUCCUUCAGUGGAAGUGUGAGGGAACCCUUGUAGUUUCCAUUGUUGUCGCUGACAAGCACCCGUCCGAAAGCCAUUGUUGUCUCAGAAAGGAGAAGUGUGGAGAUUGGAUUGUCCAGGUGCGGAGGUUUGAAAUAUGGCUGCGAGUGCUCACCCUGCGGAAUGAGUUGUAGAGGCCCACAAGAACUCAGUUUUGGGGACGGAUGAUUCAAAAUGCCAGACAUGUUCAGACAGAGAUUACCUCAUCAAAGAAGUUGACAAUGCAACUGUUUGGUUUUCUGCUUUCUGGUAUUAAACGCCAUUGAACUAGGUGAUCGAUGGCAGUCUGCAAAACUGGGGGAAUUGGUUCUAUAUUACCUACAUAACAAAGAUGACAUUGUUACUUAAAGCACGCGAUUGAGAACAGCAGCAUUGGGUAAGCUGUUGCCAUAUUACUGAAAUUAUCAUAAAUAAAUCUCAGGCAAUAUCCAAAACAUACUUCACUACUGUUCCAACACCCAACUAAUUCACUAGGUACAUGGCUGCAGAGAUGAUCAAUUUAGCCUAAAAUCCAACCUAUUUUAUCAAAAUGAUUGACUAAACUUAGGACAUGGUAGAAAAAGCAAAAUUAAUACCAGAACAUAAAACACAGGCAUGCAUUCCUGCAUAAUGCUAAAUCAGAGUACAGAGGAUCAUUUAUCUUACAAGAUGGGUCAUUUCAAGAAUACUAUUGCAUAGUUUGGAAAAUUAUUGAAGUUGCUACAUCAUGUAAUGACUGAGAUAUAACAUAAAUUCUAAGAAAAACAAUAAUCACAGUCAAAAUGCACUACUGUCACAGCAUGAAAGUAACAUGGGUCCCACGUAUCAAGGAAUUGAAGUGUUGAUGUAAAAAAAGUUAGGCGAUAAUUAAGAUGGAUUCAAUCUUGUAAGAAACAUGAUAAAACUAGAAAGAUAGGGAUCAAACUUAUAAACAUAGAAUUUACUUGAUGCUGCCUCAUUAGUUGGUUGAAACAAUGGAACACCAAGCUGAAGGAUCUCUCUCUUGUUCCCUUUCAUCUGUUUGUUGAAGAAAAUGAAUGUUUCACCUGUGUAGAAAUACAAAAUCAUUGGCGAGCAAUGACAGUGUCUCAUGGUCAGAUAAAUAGAUGUUACGUGGCACCCAUAAUAUCAUAUAUAUUUGGUUUUAUUUAUAUACAUAGUAUAUGGAAACAACCUCAUAUAAAUUGCUAACUCCUAUAUAUUUGAUACUUUUAUCACAAAAUAAAAAGGACCAAGUAUCACGGAGAAAAAAGUUUCCAAUUGUCUUGAACUAAGAGAAUUUUUGGAAAUUACCAGAAUUAUCAGAACAUGCAUUAUCAAUUUAGUAUCAAGAGGAAGUUUCUAAUAAUAUAAUUAAUUAAAACAUGUAAAUCAUGACUAGAUUUCCCAUGCAAGAUGUGCCAAAGGUAAGGUCAUUAAUUCCCCACAAUGUGGCAAAUCACGUUAUGGUUUAAGUCAUGGUGCUCCUUAUUUCAGGUUCAUCAAUUGUGUUACCAUACAUGGUCUAUCUUAGAGCGUGGUGUUGUCAUGACUUUUCUUACCCCCCUACGAGUUCCCUUUUGCAUUUCUGAAACUUUUUCUUGAAUUGGAAUUUUAGUUUCCUAUCAGUCCAGUAACUUGCCUCUGAUUUAAAACUUCGUACAAUCAGAUUUCUUCUAUUGCUUUAAGGUCAUUAAUUUCUCAACCGUGUAACAAGUCAUUUCAUGGUUGAAGUCCUGGUACUCCUUACUUUAUGUUCAUGAACUGUUCUACCAUGCAUACUCUCAACCGAUUUAGAGCACACAAGGCUUUCUUUCCCUUUAGGGUGAUCUUCUCUUAAUUCUAUAUGCAGCAUGACACCACAAGUAUUUCCAUUACAUGCAUUUAGAGACUCCCACAAAUAUUUGAAAUCAUUAAAUUUUACCUUUUCUGCCCAUAUAUAAAGUUCUCCCUCUGCUAAUCUCAUCAAACAACACAAUAGAAUUUGCAGAAACCAAGGUUCAAUGGCACUUCCCAUUGUUGUCAUUAGUUAUGGAAACUUAAAAAAAUAGGGUAAACUAGGACAAAAUUAGACAUGACUGAUGGUGAAGGCCUAUAGCCAGUAGUCAUUUCCUGGUUACUGCAUGAGUAGUUACUGCAUUUCCUCGGUAUAUGCCUCUAUCAUUCAUCACCCAAAAAACAUGGCUUCUUGUGCUAUACUAAAUGCUCUUACCGAAUCAUGACUAAAGUACAUCAAUUAAGAAAUAAAGGACCAGUUCAUUGCCAAGAAGCCAAAUGCUUGCCAACAUAAGAAAUUGAAAUUUCCUACGGUCUCGCACAAUAAAGUUUCCAAGCAUUAUUUAGCUAAUCACCAUUAGCAAAUUCAAAAUCGUCAAGAUUAACUGUACCGCUAUAAAAACAUUAUGCAUUAACUCACUUAUCAUGUUUUUCUUAUUUUGAUACGACAAAAUCCUUAUAAUUACAAUAGCACAAAACAUGAUGAUAUGCUAUAUAUGUACCUCCCCAGGUUUCAAGUACCAAUGCUGGUGGGAGUGGCAGUCACCUGUCAGCACAUGCCAUGCCAAUGUGUUUGCCAAC
rnacentral:lncRNA from 1 species